UUUUUUUUUUUUGUGACGAGCUCAUCAAACGUCCAAACACUUUGAAAUUUUGCACGCACCUAGAAGAUUCUCUGAACUUUCAUGUGUAAAAAUUUCAGAUAUUUUUGAAUUUAUUGCUAUUUUUUUGAAUUUAUUGUUCAUCGGGAGUAGAUGAGCCUGGGCACCGUUUUGAAUUAUCGGUAUAAUAUGAACUUCUUCUGAAAAAACGUCCAUGUGUCUAGCUUCAUACAUUGCUCGCACCUAUAGAGAAGUUAAAUUCUAUUGAGCUACCAACAUAUGGUGCUUAGCACUUUUCUUGGUAACGAGCUUGAGGCGGCCUGUGAAACCUUCGUUUUUCCCCUAAGAGCAUCUCCAAUAGAAAAUUUAGAUGUAAAAACAGCUAACUUUUAAAUCCCCGAGGCCUAAAAACUCAUCUCCAACAGAUCAUAUAGAUGUAAAACAAUUUACAUCACCUCCUCUAAGUGAUGUAAAAUACAAAACUUGAAGAUGAAAAUUUGCAUCACCAACCGCCUGGUGAUGUAUAUAGCCCACCUCGUCGCCGCUGGUCCUGUUGCAUUUUGCCUCNNNNNNNNNNNNNNNNNNNNNNNNNNNNNNNNNNNNNNNNNNNNNNNNNNNNNNNNNNNNNNNNNNNNNNNNNNNNNNNNNNNNNNNNNNNNNNNNNNNNNNNNNNNNNNNNNNNNNNNNNNNNNNNNNNNNNNNNNNNNNNNNNNNNNNNNNNNNNNNNNNNNNNNNNNNNNNNNNNNNNNNNNNNNNNNNNNNNNNNNNNNNNNNNNNNNNNNNNNNNNNNNNNNNNNNNNNNNNNNNNNNNNNNNNNNNNNNNNNNNNNNNNNNNNNNNNNNNNNNNNNNNNCCCCAUAGCAACAUGCCGAGCGCUGCCGCCCCACCCCGCCUCAGUUGAAGCUCCCCCGCCGCCCGAUCCGAGUUUCACCUGCGUGUUUCGAGCUCUGCCGCCGCCCCGCCCCGCUCCUUGUCUCGAUUUGAAGCUCGGCCGCCUGAUUCAAGCUCCGCCGUCGGCGCCCGUCUCAGCUCGACGCUCAGCCGCCGCCAUGCUGCCGAAGAAAGUGUCGAAGAGCAAGACCGGCUUCUUAGGGGUGCGGAAGAAGCCGUCUGAGAACUUCGGUGUGGAGUUCCAGUGCGAUGGCUAUCGCUACUGGAUCGGCACGUUUGACUUCGUCAACAUGCCCGCGCGUGCGUACGAAAUCGCCAUGUGGCGUUUCUGACGGCCGAGGCGCGAGAUGAACUUUCCGGAGAUCGAGACUCAGGUAGACACGGAGCUAAUUGGGCCGGAGAAUCACAAUAUUUGGCGGAUGGACGAGAAUGAGGAGAAGAAGAACAAGAAGAAGCCAGUGAUUAUCGUUGCUCCCGGCAAUAGUGACGAGGCGGCAAAGGCGAGAUUCACGCGGGAGCAUCCGGAGUAUGUCCAGACCGAGCACGAGUUCUCUAGGAAGCGUGAGGCCGAGCAGCAAAAGAAGGCGGUGAGGAAGGAUGUGGAGGAGGCCGGCGCCUCGGCGGUGAUCCCCGUCUAGUCCGACUCGUCGGACUGGGAUGACUCGGAGGAGGACGAGUGCGACAACCCCAAGAAGAAGGUGUUCUGGGAGCAGUUCAAGAGCGACGGCGAGUAGGCUCGGAGUAGUAGUAGUUUGAUGCAUGUAGUAAUUUGAAGUAUGUUUAAUUAUGUUUAAUAACUAUGUUUGCUUCAAAUGAACUUGCUAUAUUUAAAGUUAUGUUUGGAAUAAUAUAGUAGUUGUACUAGUUUUACAUCUUCAAAUACAUCAUUUGGUGGAGUAGUAGUUUUACAUCACCAAAUAUACACAUCUCUUGAAGUUAGGACUUUUUAAAGAUGUAUAAAAAGAACUUUUUGUUGAUGUAAAUUAUACAUCACUUGCUUUUACAUCUUCUAAUGAAGAUGCUCUAAUGCUCCAAAUGCCCCUUCCGAAACAUACUCGCUUCGUCUCAAGUGUCAAAAAAAUGUCUUACACUUUGAGGCAAAGGGAGUAUUUGAAUGUGCAGUAGGACAAGAAGAUUGCAGAGAGGACCCUCGAGAACACAAGGCGACGAUGUUGCUGCAGUUCAGUUCUUGCUUCGCUGAUGAAUGAUGAUUGUGUUUGGUGUGUAAACAAUGCCGGGCGAAAGUCUUCCCUUCUAAUCUCAAGCUCAAGAGCUCCUGCUAUGAACAGUAAAAGUCUGAUUUUUUUACGACCAACACUGCUUAGUUUUCUAUGUGCAUGCAAAUUUCGUGAUGAAAUUACAUUCGUGGAGGUUUAGAAUUCUUUUCGCAAAAUCAGCAACUCAAAACGCUUUCAAAAAUAUUCUUUCUGGAGCAUUGAUUUUUCUUUUGACAGAGUAUUAGCAAUGUUAUUUUUUUCACAAAAUCAGCACUUUAGUAGUGAUCUAAACACUCUUAUAUUUCUUUACAGAGGGAGUAGAAUAUUCACCGAUGUUUGCUGGCAAAGAAAUCAUGUUUUUUAUUUUUUGUGUUACUGUUUGUUUCAAUUUAAUUGUUCACGAGGGUACAUGCAGAACUUAUAUUUCUACGAUGCUGCAAAGUGGUUUCAGUUCCCUUAAAAGUUGAAAAUUUUAGUCAGGAGGUCAUUGAUGUUUAUAUGCAAACAAUCCAUGUGCCUUCAUGAGAUGCUUGGUUCAUUUGGAGAUCCAGAUGAAAUUUUCGCGAGAGCAAUGACAGUGACGAUAAUCGAACCAGUUUGGGUUGCAGUAUUACUACUGAUUUUGCGAAAAGCAUUAUAAUACUCCUGUACAAAUACUACAAUUUGCAGUCAUUGAAGAAAUCAAUGAAAUUUUGUAGAAAAAAAAGGAGAAAAUAAGGAAAAGAAUGUUGAAUCAGAGCUGCCGAGGAGCAGGAUGGAGCUCAGCGGAGCGGUCGAGCUCGGCGAGCAUGGCCACCCGGUCCAUCUCGUACCCACACACGUCCAUGUCCCCGUCGCCGUCCCCCGACCAGUCCACCCUGCCCACCCGCAUCGUCUCCACGUCCACCGCGUACACCUGCGUCCUGCCGCCCCUGUUCCUCGCCGUGAAGAGCGCCACGCCGCUCUUCUCGCAGAACCACCUCAACCUCACCGCCUGCAGGCCCAUGAGCUCCGUGUUCAGCGUCCACCGCCACUCCUUCCUCCCCGACACGCCGCCGUUCCUCACCGCGUCGGCGUAGACGACCACGUAGGCGCGCACCGCGUCGGCCUUGCACUCCAGCACGCACAGCCUCCCGUCCGGCAUCAGCCCCAGCAGCCGGUCCACCUCGCUGCCGAGGGAGGCCUUGGCGCGGCGCGGCGGCGACUCGAAGGCCUGCACGGUGUAGCCAAAGCUGGACGUGUGCAGCGUGGCCGGGUUGACGGCGAUGCCGAGCCCGUACCAGCAGACGGCGCCGCCCCGCACCAGCGUCGCGUGCGCCCUGACGCCCAGCUGCCGCCCCCUCGCGAUCCGGGCGCCGGUCACCUCCACCUCCGGGCCCCAGCUGCCGUCCUCCGAGGAGUAGCGCCGGAGCGCCGUGUAGCUGCGGUGGUUGUAGAGGAGCAGCACGCGGUACGAGGACGAGGACGUGGACGUGGCCGCGCAUGCGUCGUACAGGUGGAGCCCGUCGUCGGCGGUGAGCAGGGCGCACGCGUACGGCCCCGGGCGGUCCUUGCCGGUCAGGGGCGGGAGCAGGUCGGCGUCGCCGGUCAUGGGGUCGCACACGCAGAGCCGCAGCACGCAGGCGCUCUUGGCGCGGCGGAGGUCCAUCACGACGCGGCCGUUGCGGGACGCGACGACGCGCGACGACGAGCCCGGCACGCCGCCGUCGGUGAUCGAGAGGUCGGGCUUCGUGAAGGGCACGAAGCCGUCGCCGUGCAGGAAGACGCCGACCGCGAGGCGGCGGGCGAAGCGGUCGCAGCGCGGGGGGCCGCGGCGGCAGAUGAAGGCGGCGUCGGAGGAGACGAGGCGGCGCCAGCGCCUGCAAGCGGCAGCGCAGCGGACGAGGUCCCCGGCGUCGGAGAGGGCGGAGAAGACGAGGAGCAGGGUCUCGUCGCACAGGGGCAGCGCCUGGUCGCCGUGCUCGGGCCCGUGCCGCUUGAACGGCCUGCGGCGGGCGGCGAGCCACCCUCUGCUCCCGCCUGCGGAGGGAUCCGUCCCUGCGGCGGUGGCCGGGCGUCGGCGGCGGCCGCAGCGGCGACGUGGCGGCCGUGACGGCGGCAUGAUGAUCGGCCGGUUGGGAUUUGGGGGAGAUCGAGCAAGGGUUUAGGGGGGCGUGUUUACAGAGGUAAUCGCCCAGAUCCGUAAAGGAAGAUCGCCAGAUUUUCCGUCUCAUGGGCCAGUUGGAUCUCCGUUUCACGUCAGAGAAAAAAAAGGACAAAGAAUCGAUGGGCCUGCCUGCCAAUGAUGAAGGCCCAUUGUGGCGUCCCAGCGGCCAGUGGCUGCUUGGUCCUCACUGGCCUAAAAAACACAAAAAAUGCCUCACUGCACUCAUCUCCAUCGCAAGUUCUCAACAACCUCCUCCUUCGCUCACAUUGCCAAAAUGCGUUUGAAAAUAAUAUUUUUGGAGCAUCGGUUUUGUUUUUUUGCCACAUUUUACACAAAUUUCAUCUGGCGAUGAAAUUUUGCAAGCUAUCAAAACAUUUGUCAAAGUUUCAUACAAAAAAAAUCAGAAUUUUCUAAAUUGUUAUCUUUUUAAUUUUAUUGUUCACCCAAGCUCACGUAAGCACGGGAUCAUAACAGCUGCAUAUGGAGAAAGAGGAAUACCAUCCCCUGAUUAUAGCAUGGUUAAUAGUAUAAUCAACUGCUAGUUAUAUGAUGUUGUAUCAUCACUUAUAGUCACUCAUACAACAAGUUUGGCUACAAGAGUAGUACUUCUUUUCACCUUCUUUCUAUCUCUUUCUUCAUAUGUAUUGUAUUUGCGUAGAAGUACGCAUAUAGUUAACUCUUGCAUGAGAACCAUUUCCGUCAUCUUCUAAUGUCUCUGUCCUUCAUAUAGGCAAAAAUGACCUAUAAGCGGGCUAUAAGCCCGACCUGUAAUUGCUUUGAUUAGAGUACAACUCUAACUCGUCAACUUAGGCACACCCCUUUUUCCCUAAAAAAAAGAAUAAGGAAAUUACCCUUCUCGAUCAUGUGCGAUGUUUUAUCCCUUCUUCCCCCAUGAUAAUUCUUACUAGCAUCCACGAAGUAAAUGGAUUUUAUCAAAAAAUUGAAGUAAAUGGAUUUUUAAAGAAGAGUAAUUAAGAUGUAGCAAAAAUUAUGCCUCGACUCGUCCAGAACAUGUUUCGAGAGUGUGUGCUAACCAAUCAACAGGACUUGGAAGCCGAUGUCCCCAUCGCAAAAAUUAUUUGAGAGCAUAAAGAAAGAAAUGUGCGCUGUUGGAUGAAUGAGCAACUAGUAUUCACUGAGGGCCAGAGGCCAGUACAUAUACAUGUGUGGCAAAGUGCAGAGAACCCCCUAUACAUUAGGGAUAUACAGACAAGAGACUAUACACAUCUAACACCCCCCCCCCCUCAAACUCAUAGUGGAUCAACAACACUGAGUUUGGAGAAAAGAAAGCUAUGUUGCGCUCGAGUUUGUGCCUUCGUGAAGAAGUCCGUCAAUUGUAACCCAGAGGGCACAUGAAGAGCAAGAAUCUAAUCUUGCACAGCAGCACGCACAAAGUGGGCAUCCACGCCGAUGUGCUUGGUGAGCUCAUGCUUCACCGGGCCACGCGCAAUACUGAUAACACCGGUACCGUCAGACAGUAAUGGAGUGGAAGUAGAAGCAGCCACACCAAAAUCCUCAAGUAACCAUCGUAACCAGAUCACCUCAGCCAUCAACAUAGCCAUUGCUCGCAACUCAGCCUCGGUGCUCGAGCGAGAAACUGCAGUCUGUUUCUUGAUCUUCCAGGCAAUAAGAGAGCCUCCAAGAAAGACACAGUAAGCAGACAGCGAGUGUCGAUCUGAGGGAUCACUAGCCCGAGUAGCAUCGGAGUAGGCCUGGAGCUCGAGAGAACUGGAGCGAGGGGAAAAGGCGAUGAGAGAUCGUGCCACGAAGAUAUCGUAGAACACGGAGGAGAUGACUAUAGUGGAUAGAGGUGGGGGCUGCAAGAAACUGACUCAGGAUGUGAACAGGAUGGGAUAUGUCAGGACGUGUAACAGCAAGAUAGACAAGGCUGCUAAUGAGGUGACGAUAGCGAGUGGGAUUAGGAAGAGGAUCACCAUCAGAGGCACGUAGCUGAAUGUUGAGGAGUCACAACAGUGCGCUCAUCACCGAGAGCGGCGCGGGCAAGAAGAUCCUGAAUAUAUUUUUCCUGAGAGAUGUAGAAGCCAUCAGAGGUCGAGGAGAUCUCAAUCCCAAGAAAAUAGCGAAGUAGACCAAGAUCGGACAUGAGAAACUGGUUGUGAAGGCGAGCCUUGACAAAGGCAAUAUAGUCAGAGUCGUCACCAGUGAUGAUCAUGUCAUCAACAUAGAGAAGGAGAAGAGUCUGACCACGAGAAGACGUGUGAACAAACAAUGUGGGAUCAUGGUCACUGGGCAAAAAGCCAGCGGCAGUCACCAUAGAGGCGAAGCUCUCAAACCAGGCGCGAGGGGCCUGUUUAAGACCAUAGAGGAAGCGGCGAAGGCGACAGACCAUGCCAUCAGGAGCAUAGUACCCCGGUGGUGGCUACAUAUACACCUCCCCACGUAACUCGCCAUUGAGAAAGGCGUUCUGGACAUCAAGUUGAGAGAUGGACCAAUUGCGAACAGAAGCCACAACAAGGAGAGUGCGGACAGUGGUCAUGUGAGCCACAGGAGCGAAUGUCUCAUCAUAAUCGCGUCCUUGCUCCUGCUGGAAACCACGGGCCACAAGACGAGCUUUGUAGCGCUCAAGAGAACCAUCGGAGCGAGUCUUAACUUUGUAGACCCACUUGCAAGUGAUGGGACGAACACCAGAAGGAGGAGAAACCAGAUCCCACGUGCCAUUGUGCUCAAGCGCCGCAAGCUCCUCGACCAUCACAAGCUACCAUUCAGGGUGAGUCAUGCCGGCCCGAUAGGUGGUGGGCUCAGCAAUGGCAGAAAGACCAUACCGGUCAGGAGAAUAGCGAUCAGGAGGAGGACAAGGCCUAACACGAAGGUUAUGGACCGACGUAGGCGUGAGAGGUGGUGCACCAAAAGUAGAGGCACAUCAGUAGGAUCAGCGCUAGCACGAGGACGACGAGUGUAGUAGUGAGGAAAAGGGGAGUGUGGGUGAAAGACUGGAGAGGAAGGUGGGGAGGGAGAUGAGGAGGAGGGAGGGGAUGGUGGUACCGGUGGUGUAGGGAGACUCCUCUGGGAGAGGGUAGAACAGAGGGCACAGAGGGAGAUGUGUCGGGAAGGAGAAGGAAGGAAAUAUCUUCCACGGAAAAGCUCGAGGAGGAGGGACGCGGAUAGUAAAAACGAGACUCAUCAAAAGUCACAUCACGCGAAAUGCGCAGUCGGCGACCAACAGGAUCCCAACAGCGAUAGCCCUUGUGCUCAUCACUAUAGCCAAGGAAAACACACUCAACUGGCUGAGCAGUCAACUUGGUUCGUUCUCGUGGAGCAAGAAGAACAUAGCACACGCACCCAAACAUACGAAGAGCGGAGUAGUCAGGAGAGCGAUCAGAGAGAUGCUCCAUAGGAAUACCACCCUUCAAGGCAACCGAUGGCUGAAUGUUGAUGAGGUGUGUGGAUGCGGAUACUGCCUCAGCCCAAAAAUGAGGUGGAAGAGAGGCGGCGAUCAUCAUUGCCCGAGCCGUCUCAAGCAAAUGGCGAUGUUUGCGUUCAGCAACGCCAUUCUGAGCAUGGGCACCAGGGCAAGAGAAUUGGGCAAGAGUGCCCUGCUCUGCAAGAAAACCACGCAACAUGUGAGAGAUAUACUCUCCAGAUGAGCCAGCACGGAAGAUACGGACAGACGUGGAAAAUUGAGUGCGAACAAUGGCAGCAAAACGCUUGUAUAUGGGGAGAACCUCGCUGCGAGAUUUCAUACAGUAAAGCCAAGUGUAGCGAGAGAAAUCAUCAAUAAAUAGAACAUAGUAGCGAUGACCCCCUUUCGAGUCAAAAGGAGCAGGACCCCAUACAACAGAAUGAACUAAGUCAAAAGGACGCUGAGAUACAGACUCACUGGUAGGAUAAGGUAACUGGGUCUGUUUGUCAAGCCUACAACCAUCACAAUGCAACGAAACAUCACCAGAGACAGACCCUAAGAUGCCUUGGUGUACUAAUGAGGAUAAGCGAGAGCCACAGAUGUGACCAAGUCGAUGAUGCCACUGCUGGAAGGACACAAAAGAGGAGGCAGCAAGAGCAUGGGAGCUGGCGUAUGUGGUAGCAGCGGAAGGAACACGAAGCCAGUCAACCUCCCAAAGGCCCUCAGACUCACGGCGCCGAGGGCCAGCGCCAACCAGAGCCUGAGUGCGACGAUCCUGAACAGAACAAGAGUCAGCAUCAAGAAUGACACGACAACCAGAAUCAGUAAGUUGGGCAGCGGAAAAGAGAUUCAUGGUAAGACGAGGAACAUGAGAAACACUAGGAACCGAGAAAGAUGGAGUGGAAAGGAUGCCAUGACUAGCAGCAGGAAGAGGUGUGCCAUCGGCCGUGAAAACAUUAAGAGGAAAACCAGGAGGACGAAGAGAAGAUAAAACAGAAGAAUCAGAAGACAUAUGAAAAGAAGCUCCAGAAUCCAGAACUCACGAGGAUGUACCUGUCUGAGUAGGCUCCAGCGGGGGCAGAGUGGUGGUGGCUGUCACGACGGCAACAGAACCCGUCAAGGAAGAACCGGAUGAUGCCAACAUGCGCUUGAGCCGCAGAAUAUCCUGGUCAGUAAGCGACGCAGUCGAGGAAGACGCACGAGUCCCACUAGAUGAAGAGCGCUUCAGGUCUCUCCGCUUCUUGUGACAAUCUGAUUCUGGGUGACCUGGCCUGUUGCAGUAGCCACAGAAGGUGUGCGAGCACGACCGACCCUCUCCUGAAGGAGGGUGAAACGCCCCCCUGGAGGUGUGGGCAGGAGCGGUGGAGUAGUGAGGUGAGCAGACAACACAAGAGCUUGGGCAGCAAGAACAGUGGGAACCACAAGCAGAUCAGCGGACCGAAGAUGUGUCUCCUCAGCACGAAGCUCGGCAAGCACCUCCGAAAUAGGAACACGACCACGAGCAAGCAGGUGAGCACGCCGAGGCUCAAACUUUGAGCGAAGGCGAGGUAGGAACUCGUGGAGACGAUGAAACUCCAAGUCUGACCGCACAGUCUGACAACAGCGGCAAGUACCACAAACCACAGUCUGGAGAGAGUCAAGCUGACGCCAGAUGGCAGAGCUCUGGGAGUAGAACUCAUCAAUAGAAGAGUCACCCUGCUGCAGAGCAUGCUCCUGACGCACCACAGAUAGGUAGAGAGCAUCACCAGAUGGCUGAUAUCGGUGACAAAGAUAGGUCCGCAUCGCAGCAACAGUACCAAGACCCAUGAACUCAGACGCAGACUGGGGUAAGACACUCGCAGUGAGAACCGGAGCCGCUCGAGCAUCAUCGUUGCACCACUGAGUGUAAGCAGACAGAUCAUCCCGGUAAACAGAAAGAGCAUCUGAGUAAGCGGAUACCUGCUGAUCAUAAGCAUCCAUCGCAACAUCAUCAAGGGCCUUGGCUGCAUCCCGAUCAGCCUGAGAAGCGUCGGCAGCAAGAACAGGCGGGACCGGUGGGAUAGGAGCCACAGGAGCAACAUGACAUGGCGGACAGGGGACCUCGCCAGAGAAAACGCCCCACAGGAGAAGACCGCGCAUGUGGAUGCACAUGAAACCCACAAACUCAGCAUAGUUGGUGUCAUCGAAGAUCACCGUGCACCGAGGGACAACCACAUAUCCCGAGGAAGACAUGGUGAGCCUUUUUUUGGUCAACUGCUACAGUGCGCCCGAUCUAGAUCAGGCAGACCCGCUCACGAGGGGAACGAAGCGGGGCUCGAGCAAAUCGAGCGGACAAGGUGGCCAAGCGACAGCUGAAGGCCACGACCAGGAGGAGAUCGCAGCUUGGGCUGCAGAUCCAGAUUGAGGGCCCAUCCAGGCGGGAAGCAGCACCAGGCAAGAGCGGCCGGGACACCGGGCGAGAGCUGCCGGGCUGGGGCGACGUCCAGGCAGAGGCGGGCGGUGGCCAGGUGCAGCAGCAGGGCGGCCAACCGGCAAAGCAGGAAGCAGGGGCGCCCGAUCGGGCGGAGUAGGACAAGGCCGCCUCGAGCGCCGACGGCUAGGGCGCAGCAGGAGCGGGCGCCGGAUCCAGCCGAUCCAGCCGGACGGAAGGAGUCGGGCUUGGCCAAGAGAGAGACGGCCGGUGACGUACGGGAAACAGCCGGAAUCGAGGUGAGCUAGGAGUGGCGCGCACGGAGUUGCAUCGUGCGGGAGAGCGAUGCUAACCUAACAUCUGAUACCAUGUUGGAUGAAUGAGCAACUAGUAUUCACUGAGGGUCAGAGGCCAGUACAUAUACAUGUGUGGCAAAGUGCAGAGAACCCCUUAUACAUUGAGGAUAUACAGACAAGAGACUAUACACAUCUAACAUGCGCUAACACAGGAAGAAGGAUAUAUCUGGUGCAGAAAGUAUCAGGGGCCACAAGAGCUUGAUGAAGAUUGUUGAUGGCGCGACAAAGACAAGUUAUGCAUAAACCUUGUAUAUUCUUUCUUUUUUGCGGGGUCAUAAAUCUUGGAUGUUCAAUCCAAUAAUUAAUUAGGGUACACUUAAGAGAUUUUAUAGAGUAGGGUGGGGGGGGGGGGGCAGUGGCCCCCUUUGGCCCAUGAAGCUCCGCCACUGCACCAAACCAUAUAUGCUCCCAAUUUGAAGAAAUUCAAAUUUGAACAUUCUGAAAAAAUCUAUAAAAAGUAUGGACGUUGGCAACACAUACGUAUACAAUCCCUAAAAAACUCAGAUCCAAAAUCUAAAUAUACGUUGAGGAAUAUAAAAGACAAAUCCAUCAUGGUUAGUGUAAAGCUAAGACACAAGCAAAAUGACAUAUUCAUACAUGAAUUUCUCCUUUUUGUUUCUUCAUGUGCGAAUUUUUGGGGGCUGUGCACGCUUGUCCUGUGAGCACACAUUCCCCUCCAAUGAAUUUUUAGAAACAAUUGUGUCGCGGCAUAUUUAGAGAUAUCUAGCUAUUGAAGACAAGGCUAAGUAAGAAUAACGAAUUGCACGUCAUUUUUUUUAUUGUCCUUUCUAAAUUACGUUACAGCCACAAGAUAGUCCUAUCAACAAUGACCCCGCGCAAAGAUGUUAAGUAAGACAUGCUCUAAGGACUGAUAUAAUUGGAUAUUUUUUUUCCAUGUCCGGUGAAACCAUGCAACGUACAACUAUGCAAAGGACAGGUUUUGGGUCUUCCCUGGCGGCGCCUCAACUGCUCCAAUGGGCAUAUAUAUGCCUAUAUAUGGUGCUUUGUUAAGUCCGUCGUCCGGUAGCACGACAUCGCUGACGCACCAAUUGAGGAAUCGAUGCAAAAAAAAAACAUUGAGGAACGGAAUAGGAAUAUGCGACGCGGUACUGUUUUGCCGGCCCUGAUCUUCCCUGUCGGUGCUGACUUUUGUCAUCUGUUCUUUGUAAAAAAUGUAACGCGGAUUAUCAGCCAAUUUCGCUACAGUUGUAGUAAGAUCUUAAAAGGCGUUUAACAUGAGCAGCAUUUCUCUGCCAUGUACUCUCUCCGUUCCCAAAAAUAUAAGUCUUUUUAAAGAUUUCAAUAAAUGACCACAUACUGUACAAAAUUAGUGAAUCUACAUUUUAAAAUAUGUCUAUAUACAUCCGUAUAUUGUAGUCCAUUUGAAUUGUCUAAAAAGACUUAUAUUUAGAAAGGGAGGCAGUACGUACUGUAGUAGCAAUGGCACUCAAAAAAUAGAUCAUAACAAACAAAACCUAGUAGCAAUGGCACUCCAAAAAUAGAUCAUAACAAACAAAACCGUCAAGCAUUUGAGCUUCACAUACAUAUAAGAGACUGAAAGCUUCAACCGCCAAACGAUACUGCUCAGGUACAGAGCAGCUAAUAGACAGUGGCCGGGGAAGAACACAAGGGGCUGGUGGAAAUCAUCAUAACAACAUGCAACAAGGAGCAAAGGAAAAUCAGCUCAAGAGAUUAUACAACCAUGGCUGGAACUCACAAACAUUACAACACGCACAAUUGCUAGCACAACAAUCAAAUACGUAUAUAUGUAAAUGAAAGCAAGAUCUUGCACAAAAGCAAACACAGCACAGUAAAAAUAACCACCGUGGGAUGCCAGAAAUAUAUCAUCUAAGUUUAACAUCUGUUACAUCACCACAACCAUCAUCAAAACCACAGUCUCAGUAGCACCACAUACAAACAACAAGAUAGUAAGGAAGACACAUAGGGAGAAAAAUACCGCGCCUCCCUUCACAGCAACAGCCAGCAGCAAAACAUGACCCAAAGUUUAGAGCUUGUCCUCGAAAUCGGAUAGGGGGGUCAUCUGCUCCUUGAGACCCUUCCUCUUGCGGAUCUCCGUCACGAGCGUCGCCGACUGGGUGCCGGGGUCCAAAGGAUCGGAGGCCAUGAUGUCCCAGUGGUCAAACACGCACUGGGGGAAGGCCUGGCCGGACGUCGCGGCCCUCAGGGUGCUCGAGAACCCGAAGGACUCGAUGACGGGCAGGUAGGCCUUGAUGUUGUAGAGUGGGGUACCUUGCCUCUGCAUCUCCUCGAACACGUGCCCUCUCUUCUGAUUCAGCACACCAUAGAUACCACCAAGUGCGUUCUCCGGGGCCUGGAUCUCAACCAGGUACACGGGCUCCAGCAGCCUUGGCUUGGCAGUGAGCUGAGAAGCGUAAAUGACCCUCCUCGCCGUUGGGAUGACCUGACCACCACCCCUGUGAAUAGCAUCAGUGUGGAGAACAACAUCACAGACCUCAUAGCAGAUGCCGCGCAUGUUCUCCUCACAUAGUGCUCCUUCUUUUGAUGCCCACUGGAACCCAGCCACAACAGAGUCCUUGAUUUCAUUCAGGUACUGCACUCCCUUACACAUGUCCACAACCAUGUUGGGGCCAGUCGUCUCAGGUCCAAAGCACCAAAUCUUCUUGGCGAGAUCCUUGUCCCAACCAAACUCCUCAGACAGGAUCUUGGAGCGCACCUUAGGAUCAUCACGCGGGCCAAUGCGGCCAUCAUCAAUAGCCUCAGCCAAUCCCUCCUCCAAUGGGCGAGCUUCCAUGUAAAGACGGUUAUGCUUGUUGGGGGACUUGCUCAUAACGGUACGGCAGGACUUCUCCAGAACAGUCUCACGGAAGGAGACGACAGGGGGGGAAACAAUGAUUUCAGCACCACCCAUGAAGUCAUCCUGCAGAUCCUUCAAGCAGAUUUCAAGAUGAAGCUCUCCGGCUCCAGCGAUGAUAUGCUCACCAGACUCUUCAAUGGUACAGAGAACCAUAGGAUCAGACUUGGCCAGACGCUUCAAACCCUCAACAAGCUUAGGAAGAUCAGAAGCCACCUUGCACUGAACAGCAACACGUACAACAGGGGACACAGAGAACUUCAUUGCCCUGAUUGGGCAGGCAUCAACUUCCUUCUCGUUUGUCAGGGUUGCAUUCUUGGUGAUGAACUGAUCCAAACCAACCAAAGCAACGGUGUUACCACAGGGAACAUCCUCAACAGACUCUUGCUUCUUUCCCAUCCAGAUAACAGUCCGCUGGACACUCUUCACAUAUAGAUCCUUCUUCUGGCCAGGAACAAAGUUGGGACCCAUGAUACGGACCUUCAUGCCAGUUGCGACCCUCCCGGCGAAAACACGUCCAAAGGCAAAGAAUCUACCCUUGUCAGAUGCUGGAAUCAUCUUGGAGACAUACAGCAUAAGAGGACCUUCAGGGUCACAGUUUCUGAUGGCAUUUGCAUAUAUGUCAUCAAGGGGGCCCUCGUACAAGUUCUCCACACGAUACCUCUGUGCCUUUGAAGGAGAGGGGAGGUGAAAUAUCAUCAUCUCAAGCAGAGCACGACUGGCAGGCAGCCAAGUUUGCAUCACACGCUUCAUGAGAGCCUUGCCCAUCAAGUCCUUCUCAUCAUUCUUCAUGGUCACACCAAGCUUCUUCAACAUAGGCCACAACUUAUCCUUCUGGUCAUUCAUGCAGGUUGCUAUGAUUUGCUUGAUUGGCUCAUAGCAGAACUGAACGAAACCUCUCUUGCAGGUAGCUGUCCCAGUGUUCUUGGAGGUCCAUUUCUUUGUGGCUGGGUCAAAGAAGUUCUCACCCCACAGCCUCUCCAUCAUCUUCACCUCAUCAACACCAAACUUGGAGGCAUACAUCUUAGCAAAGUUUGUAAGGGUGAAAGCCCACCCAUGCAAACCAGCAGAGAAUGCAACAGUACCCUUCUCUGGGUACACUUGGACAUCACCAAGGAGCACAUCUUCAUAUGUUGCCAUGAUGACAUUGGCAUUUUCGAUGACACGGGAGAAAGUCUGAUAUGCUUCCUCACCUUCAAACUGAAGCUCAAGGAAGCAUCUGUCCAUCUUGUUCACAGUAAGAACAGGCCUAAUCCUCUCACCAAGAGCUUGGCGCAGCACAGUUUCAGUCUGCACACAGACACCCUCAAUGCAGUCAACAACCACCAAAGCACCAUCAGUGAUACGAAGAGCAGCUGUGACUUCCGAAGAAAAGUCAACGUGGCCAGGUGAAUCAAUAAGGUUGAUCAGGUAUUCAUCUCCAUCCCUGUCGCCCUUGUACAUCUCAAGUGAUUCAGGAGUCAUCUGAUAGAAAAGAGAGAUACCCGUGGAUUUGAUUGUAAUACCACGCUCUGCCUCAUCUGCACGGGUAUCAGUCAUGCGAACAUCCCCAGCAACUUCCUGGGCGAUAAUCCCAGCAGCUGCCACAAGGGAAUCCGUAAGCGUAGACUUGCCUGCAAAUAUGUAAAUAAUAUGUGAGAACAAUGCACAAGCAUCUGGUUUGACAGUUGAACACAACCUAUAUGAAUAGAAAAUUGAACAUGUUAACUCAUACAGUAUAAGGCAGAAGUAGGACAGAGCAGUACAGUACUUUCAAACAAUCAAGAAACAAAAGAAGGUACAAAUAAGCUCAACAAGGUUUUUAGUAACAUGGUUAAGCAAAAUCUAGUGGGACAUUGCAAACAAAAUAUGAAGACAUCAAUAUUGAAGUAACUAAGUACAAUCAUGUAAAUUUAAGAUCCUAUGCAGUGUAAUACAUUCAGGGACAAUGUGAGAAUACACCAAACUGGGAGAUACUAGGCCUGGGAUAUUAUGUCAAUAGUACCAUUUAAGCUUGGUGAAGCAGAAAUCAAUCAUAUAAUAAGCAGUGGUGAAGCAGAAAUCAAUCAUAUAAUAAGCAGUAGUAGUAAACUCCAGGACACAAUAAGAUGGAUUGGUUUUAGGGAUGAAACUAAUUAUGGCCCACUUCUUAAAUUGACCCAUUUAAAUAGUCUCAGUAUUUCGAAUUAAAUAGAGUAAAAUUAAGAGCAGGCUACAAAAACAUUGGUUAACAAAGAUUCUACUGUAUGAACUCAAUAAUUAGAGACAACUGUCUGUUUAGGCACAUACCGUGGUCGACAUGAGCAAUAACAGACAUGUUACGAAUAUUAUUUUUCUUGUCCAUAAUUCCGCGGAGCUCCUCCGCUGUAAACUUCACCAUCUUGACUGGUUUUGGAUAUCACACUGGGAAUAUAGUUCCUGUUCAGAAUGGACCAAAAAUCAAGUAAUUAAAACCACAAUUGAAUAAUCAGAAGGCUCUUACUACAGUUGGGCACGCAUUAGUUUCAAGUGCAGUCAACCAAGCAUAUUAAAACUAACAUAUGGGAACCGAAGACCAAGUUCUGAAAACUUAAUUGUCCAAAGUGCACUAAAAAGGAAGCCAGAAAGCAACGAUGGCAACCAAUUUUGAGAGCACUCGACAUGACAGUGUGCGAAAGAAAGCACAAAACAGUAAGAAAGAUAAGAAAGAAAAGCAGUCUAUUAUGUAGAGUGUGCACAAGUAUGAAGCACAAUCAGGCAACGGAUAUCACUAGCUAAACCUGUAUAACUUAUGAGGAUCACAGAAAACUUCGCAGGAAUCAACCAUAUGUGAAUGGAAAAGAAGAGUAGGUCUGAAACAGAAUCGUGGUUUUAUGCAAAGUUGAUUUGUAACAGAAGGGUAGUUUUAUGCACACGUGCUGACUGUACUAGCAUGUACACUACCAGUGUAAACACUAGAAACAAUGGAAGCACAGAAGGUCAUAAUGUUGAGCUCUGAAAUAGGUGCGACCAACCAUGCAUGGGGAGCACUGAGAAGAAUACCAGAAGAUAGCCACAUAUGAUCAAUUUAACCAAAUGAAAGAGAUCAGGGAUAAAUUCACCCAUAAUACCUCAACUAUAAGUACAUAAAAACUGGCACACCCCGAUACAAGAGUCUCCCGUUCUUUCUUUUUUUUUGAAAUAAAUACAAGAGUCUCCCGUUCUAUAUACACAUAGUUAUAUUAAAUUAAGCAUGCCAAGCAAAGAUGUGCAUCACCAUUUCCUCCGCCCUGAACAUGAAGACAGAGAACAAAACCAACCAGGCUACGACAGGCAGGCAAGCAAGCGAGCAAAACCCUACAGCUUGAGCAUUCUAAGAACCCCGUGGACGAACAGCAGCGCAGAAAAAAAUCGCCGAAAAAGCUAGCAGAGCACCAGAUGAAACAGAUCGCCGUCUACCACGGCGGAGCGGGCAGAUCCACGGUAAACACGGCGGGAGGAACACCCUUAGCUACCACAGAAGCACAUCGGAGGCGACGAGCUUAUGUAUCUAGUGACGUCAGCGCAAAGUCGUCGCCAGGAACAAGCGAGCGGGACGAACCAAGCAGCAGAUCUAACGCAUCUAAGAGCAGCGAGACCGCAUAGGAAUAAUCCCGGCGACCACGAGCCCAGCAAAGGGGACCGGAGCGCAUCGAGCUAGCGAGGAGACUGAGCCGGUGAAAUCGGUCGGCUAGGUAGCAGCUAGCUGCCUAGCACGGGCGCGCCCGCCGACGGAGCAGCCGGAGGGCGGCGGAAGGGGAGAGGAGAGGGGAGGUCCGGCUCACCUUGCGGGUUCGCCGAGAGAUGAGAGGUGGGGAAGCGGCGGCGCUCCCGAUCCGUGAGAAUGGAAAGGGUUCAAGGAAGUGAGCACGCUAGGUCGCAUUUGCUGGCCGUUAUAUACGCUAUUUUUGUUGGUUCCGUGCGGGCCAAGAUGCGCGGGGAGUGGAACUUUCCAAGGCCGGCCACGCGAAAUGCGGCCCGCAAGUGAAGCCGGCCUGUCCGGCGUCCACUGUGGUGGAGUCCGGCCCAAAGGGGAUGAUGGCCAGGCGUGGUGAGAAUUUCGGAAGUUGUCGGAGCGAAAGCUCCGAAGCGCCAUCAAAUGGCGAGGAAGCUUUCGGAAAACCUCUAACCACCUAGGAGCCCAAUCUUCAAAAGUAACAAGUGUUGGGUUUGAUGAAAAAAUGUAUGUUGGGUCUUGCUCUCUCUAUCACCAAAGAAUCAACAGGUUUGGGCGCACAUUUUUCAGAAACCAUGCUCAGUUUAGACUUCAUUGAAAGAUGGGUUUAAAUAAAGCAACCACGAAGAUUUUGGAUGGAGUGGUAAUAUUUGAACCUUGAUGUGUGACACGAACACAUGGCAACUCCGAAUGUUUUUUAUGACAAAUGUAGUGACGCGGGGAUGGCAACUUCAUAAGUCAAGCAUGGCCACUUGCUUUUUGGAUGGUAAGUUUCGGUUUUUUCUGGGUUUCUUUUUUUCUUUCUAGAUGACAAUUUCAGCAGUUGUAAAAAACGUGAGGGCAAGAGUGCUUCGUGCCACAUGUGUGGCACUUAUUAUUUAGGUGACAUGUUGUUGGAAUCACGCUCAAACUAAGCUUCGUCCAAAGAUGGUCCAAAGAUGAGUGCGGCCAAUCAAAAUUAGUGUUAGCUCUACCACAUUAUAUCUUCCUUUUUAGUGGAGAAUUUGAUGGAGGAGCUGCAGCCCUAUUUCCCCGUAUUAUUUCUGUUAGCAAUUGAAGGUUUUGUCUUGUCUUUUGAAAAGUAUUGGAAUUUCAUAAAAGAAAAGAAAAAACAUCUAUGCAGCGGCCAAAACACCCUGACCAAGGCCAAUCAUCUCUUAUCGAUAUUUACGAACAUUGUGUCCAAAUUAGGAAACUAGACUAGGAUCACUUCAUGUAUACCUGUUUGGUUUGCAGCGUAAGGUUUUAACGCUUAUUCUUAGUAGUGCCACAACAUCUUAGGAAUGUGUUUGAUUUAUUGCCACACUUUUCUAGCUACAAGGUUCACAUGUCAUAGGCUCACUUUUUGCUUAAUCUUGCAACACUUAUAGUCACCAUUUUAUUAACCACAUUUUUUGUGACAGCCACACUUUGUCUAAGCUUAAUACUUCCUCCAUCACGGUUUAGAAGGCACAGUUAAAUUUGCGUACGUUUUCACAAUAAACAAGGUUUAGAGCGCAUUGCAUUUAUUUCUAGUAGCUAAUUACUACUCCGAUAUACUAUUUCUAUAUGCAUGCGUAGUGUGAAUGCUAUUUUUUAGCCCAUCCCACAACCAAUAGAUAACCACCUAGGUCCCAGAGAAUUUUCAAGCGCGUCUUCUAAACCAUGACGGAGGGAGUAGUGGUUAAGUUAGUCAUGAAAACAAGUCAUGAAACGGCAUCCUAUGUUUCAGCAAAAAAAACUAAAAGGUUGAAGCUUGCUUGCAAGUGUCAUAAUUACAUAGAGCCUAUGUGUAUAACUAUUAAGCACAUGUGCAUCCAGUAACAGUCAUAAGAAAUAUAGCAAACAAAUCUAUUAUAUGCCUAAAUUUACUGAACAACUUCACAACUCAAUUUUGCUACAAACCUGGAAUAAGAGAAGUUACUGAGCAUGAGAAUUAUGCGAAUAUUCUAUUAUGCCUACAAAGGUUCAAUCUGUAAUAUUCCAAAAACAUAAGUUCGGAUACUCUCAGCGUUAACAGAUGCUUCUACUACAGUAUUUCUCUUAGGUCCAAUUUUUUUCCGCUCAAACAGAUGUAUCUUAGCACACAGUAGGGAGCAAUUUCUCAUCAUCAGUGUGUCCACAAAAUUGUAGGGCAUGAAAUGGAGAAUUGUGUACUGUAUACAAACUGCAGCAUAAACAAGUGCAGUAAGUUUUUGAGCAUAGAUUACAACUGCCAAAAGAUGGAACACAUUUUGAUGGUCAUCAAAUCAGGAAGGUAAAAUGAGAUCGAAAAACUGCAAGCAGAGCUCUCAAGAUCAUGAAAAAUAUAGAGCAAGACUGGAGCAAUAAAGAACCAGGCAGAGCUCUCAAGAUCAACACAAAAGCAAACACAAGACGCCAACAAGAACUACCAAUGGAUAACAGAUACUUGUAUAAUCUAAGCUUUAACAUCGACAGACAUCAAAACGAAGUGCCAGUAUCACGACAGAUAUAUAAUCUAAGUUUUAACAUCGACAGACAUCAAAACAAAGUGCCAGUAUCACGACCGAUAGGAAUCCCAAUAGCAGUACAGCGACGACUCAAUAGACAGAUAAUAGUGCAGCUCUCUUAGCAGCAAAAGCAAACUAGACCAUGUAACAGAAGCAAAAGUUCAGAGCUUGUCCUCGAAAUCAGAUAGAGGGGUCAUCUGUUCCUUCAGGCCCUUGCGCUUGCGGAUCUCCGUGACAAGUGUGGCAGACUGGGAGCCGGCCUCCAAAGGAUCAGAAGACAUGAUGUCCCAAUGGUCGAACACACACUGGGGGAAAGCCUGGCCGGAUGUCGCCGCCCUGAGGGUACUUGAGAACCCGAACGACUCGAUGACCGGGAGGUAAGCCUUGAUGUUGUACAGCGGGGUACCAGGCCUCUGCAUCUCCUCAAACACAUGCCCUCUCUUCUGAUUCAGAACACCAUAGAUACCACCGAGUGCAUUCUCCGGGGCCUGGAUCUCAACCAGGUACACAGGCUCCAGCAGCCUUGGCUUAGCAGUGAGCUGAGAAGCGUAAAUGACCCUCCUGGCUGUUGGGAUGACCUGACCACCACCCCUGUGAAUAGCAUCAGUGUGCAGAACAACAUCACAGACCUCAAAGCAAAUGCCACGCAUGUUCUCCUCAGCCAGAGCACCUUCUUUCGAUGCCCACUGGAACCCUGCCACAACAGAGUCCUUGAUUUCAUUCAGAUACUGCACUCCCUUACACAUGUCCACAACCAUGUUGGGGCCAGUCGUCUCAGGUCCAAAGCACCAAAUCUUCUUGGCGAGAUCCUUGUCCCAACCAAACUCCUCAGACAGGAUCUUGGAGCGCACCUUAGGAUCAUCACGCGGGCCAAUGCGGCCAUCAUCAAUAGCCUCAGCCAAUCCCUCCUCCAAUGGGCGAGCUUCCAUGUACAGACGGUUAUGCUUGUUGGGGGACUUGCUCAUAACGGUACGGCAGGACUUCUCCAGAACAGUCUCACGGAAGGAGACGACAGGGGGGGAAACAAUGAUUUCAGCACCACCCAUGAAGUCAUCCUGCAGAUCCUUCAAGCAGAUUUCAAGAUGAAGCUCUCCGGCUCCAGCGAUGAUAUGCUCACCAGACUCUUCAAUGGUACAGAGAACCAUAGGAUCAGACUUGGCCAGACGCUUCAAACCCUCAACAAGCUUAGGAAGAUCAGAAGCCACCUUGCACUGAACAGCAACACGCACAACAGGGGACACAGAGAACUUCAUUGCCCUGAUUGGGCAGGCAUCAACUUCCUUCUCAUUUGUCAGGGUUGCAUUCUUGGUGAUGAACUGAUCCAAACCAACCAAAGCAACAGUGUUACCACAGGGAACAUCCUCAACAGACUCUUGCUUCUUUCCCAUCCAGAUAACAGUACGCUGGACACUCUUCACAUACAGAUCCUUCUUCUGGCCAGGAACAAAGUUAGGUCCCAUGAUACGGACCUUCAUGCCAGUGGCAACCCUCCCAGCGAAAACACGUCCAAAGGCAAAGAAUCUACCCUUGUCAGAUGCUGGGAUCAUCUUGGAGACAUACAGCAUAAGAGGACCAUCAGGGUCACAGUUUCUGAUAGCAUUAGCAUAUAUAUCAUCAAGGGGGCCCUCGUAUAAGUUCUCCACACGAUACCUCUGUGCCUUUGAAGGAGAAGGGAGAUGAAAUAUCAUCAUCUCAAGCAGAGCACGACUGGCAGGCAGCCAAGUUUGCAUCACACGCUUCAUGAGAGCCUUGCCCAUCAAGUCCUUCUCAUCGUUCUUCAUGGUCACACCAAGCUUCUUCAACAUAGGCCACAACUUAUCCUUCUGGUCAUUCAUGCAGGUUGCUAUGAUUUGCUUGAUUGGCUCAUAGCAGAACUGAACGAAACCUCUCUUGCAGGUAGCUGUCCCAGUGUUCUUGGAGGUCCAUUUCUUUGUGGCUGGGUCAAAGAAGUUCUCACCCCACAGCCUCUCCAUCAUCUUUGCCUCAUCAACUCCAAACUUGGAGGCAUACAUCUUGGCGAAGUUUGUAAGGGUGAAAGCCCACCCAUGCAAACCAGCAGAGAAUGCAACAGUCCCCUUCUCCGGGUACACUUGGACAUCACCAAGCAGCACAUCUUCAUAUGUUGCCAUGAUGACAUUGGCAUUUUCAAUGACACGGGAGAAAGUCUGGUAUGCUUCCUCACCUUCCACUUGAAGCUCAAGGAAGCAUCUGUCCAUCUUGUUCACGGUGAGGACAGGCCUAAUCCUCUCACCAAGAGCUUGGCGCAGCACAGUUUCGGUCUGCACACAGACACCCUCAAUACAGUCAACCACCACCAAAGCACCAUCAGUGAUACGAAGAGCAGCUGUCACUUCCGAAGAGAAGUCAACGUGGCCAGGUGAAUCAAUAAGGUUGAUAAGGUACUCAUCACCAUCCCUGUCGCCCUUGUACAUCUCAAGUGAUUCAGGAGUCAUCUGAUAGAAAAGGGAGAUACCCGUGGAUUUGAUUGUAAUACCACGUUCUGCCUCAUCUGCACGGGUAUCAGUCAUGCGAACAUCACCAGCAACUUCCUGGGCGAUAAUCCCAGCAGCUGCCACAAGGGAAUCCGUAAGCGUAGACUUGCCUGCAAACAUGUAAAUCUAUGUGAGGACGGUAAAAAAGCAUCCAGAUUGACAGUCAAAAGCAAUAUACAUUAAUAUACACACUUGGAACUUAUUAACCACUGAGAGAUGUAAGUGUGGCAAAAAGUACACUGAAACAAACAAUGAUUAAAAGACGAUUAAAAGAGGACAAACUGAGAAUUUAGUAACAUGGUUAACAAAUUUUUUGUGUUACUACAUACAACCAUGUAAAUUAUAAUACAUUCAGCAACUAACAGGAGCACACACCAAACUGGGGAGAUUUUGAGCCAUGGGAUUAUAUGCCAAUAGUUGCAUUUAAGCUUGUUAAAGUAUAGAUCAAUCAUAAAAGCAAUAAGAAUAAGCUCCAGGAGACAGCAAGAGCUGGAACUACUUAAUUUAAAACAGUGAAACAGCUCAUUAAUACAGAGAUCUGGUUUUUAGAAAUAAUAUGGAACAACUAAGAGCAGGCUACAGAAACAUCAAUCUACAAGAUACUGUAUGAACAUGGUAAGUAGAGCAACUGACACUGUUCGGUCACAUACCGUGGUCAACAUGAGCAAUAACAGACAUGUUGCGAAUAUUAUUCUUUUUAUCCAUAAUUCCACGGAGCUCCUCCGCUGUGAACUUCACCAUCUUGACUGCUUUUGAAUGUCACACUGGGACUAUAGUUCCUGUUCAAAGAAUAGCAAGCUAUCAGAAUAAAGCAAUAAUACAGUUUGAAUAACUAUUAAAUGAAAAAAAAAAUCUGACAGUGAUAAAAUAAUGACUGUUCAAGUAAUUAGAACCACAAUUGUCCACUCAAAAGUGCACUUAAAUUGGUGUACAAUAAUAAAUUUUAUACACUGCUACCAAACUACUUUAACCAACACUUCCACCAACAUCCCGAAUAAAGUGAAAUAUAUAAGAUGGUCAAUUGAGCUUAUUAAAUUUAAUAUACUAGGACAAAAAGAAAUGCACUGAGAAGGCAGCAACAAAGCAAGCCCAACCGAUAUUAAGAGCACUGACAGUCACAGCAUGAGAAAAAAUAACACAUACAAUAACAAAGAAAUGCAAUCCAUUAUGGAGAGCAUACAUGCAAAAGCAAUGAAGCAAAAAUAGGAAAUGGAUCACUAACUAAACCCCCAAGUACUUCCAGGUCUGUAGAGCUUAUAAAGGGGUAGAACAUAGAGAAAAACUUCUGCAGAAGAUUAUGUCAAGACUUGGGAAAAUGUAAUUUGUAAUGGAAUCACAGUUUUAUGCACAAGUACUGACUGUAAUAUCAUGGCACUACCAACAUAAACACUAGAAACAAUGGCACAGAACGUCAUUGAGUUGGAACUCUCAAGUGGUGCAACCAUCAAUACCAAGGGAAACACAGAAAAUACUUGCACGGACUCAUCCAAACGAAAUAAUUAUCAGAUCAGAGCGAAAUACAUGCAGAGUGCCUGAACUAAAUUUACAUAAAACACUGAAAACACAAAGACGACAAAAAUAUCUGUAGCUCCCUUUCAAAUUAAACUGAACAUGCAAAGCAACGAUACCAUUUUCUCCGACCUGAGUAUGAGCAGGGAACAACACCAACAGGUUAGGGUAGGCACUAGGCAGGCAAGCGAGCGAGCAAAUACCCUACAGCUCGAGCAUUCUAGCAAAACCUCGUGAACGAAAAGCAUGGCAAAAUGGCCAAAACCAACACCGGGACAACAGAUCCACGCUCAACACGACGGAAUAGCACCCUAGGGACCGCGCAUCUACAGACGUCAGAACAAAAUCGACCCCGGAACUUGCGAGCAGGGCGAACAAAGCAGUAGAUCUACGGCGCUUGGGAACAGGAACCGCACAGAAGAACGACGACAGAUCCGGCGACGUGAACUGCGCGCAAAAGCUAGCGAGGAGACUAGAACCGGUGGAACCGAUCGAUCGGCUAGGCAGCAGCUGGUGCGGACUACGGAGAAGCGACGGGCCGACGAGGCGACCGGAGCGCGGGGAGGAAGGGAGGUCAGGCUCACCUUGGGGUUUCGCUUCGGUCUCCCGAGCCGAGAGGUGAGAGAUGAGGAAGCGGCGGCGCUCCCGGAGGAAGAGAAUGGAACAAGGGGUGAAGGAAGAACCCUAGGGCGGCAUCGCUUGCCCGGUAUAUAUAGUGGUGCUGUGCCGGCCCAGGAACGCGAGGGCCGAAAGGCGAGGAAUGGGCGACUGCGGCCCGCGGGAGUGAGGGGGCCGUGUGUGGUGGAGUCGGGCCGACGGCCUGGCCCGAGUGAUGGCCCAGACCUGCCGAGUGAGAUGUGAGACGAAUGGGCGACUCUUCUUCUUGUCUAAAAAAAAAAGAAGAUGAACGACCGACUCGAUGAUCCCUACGGAGAGGGGGGAAGUGAACAAGGUUAUACGGGGUAAAUAAUUCAAAAAUAAGUGAAUUUCUUUUUUUUUUCAGAAAAACUUCCGAUCUAUUAAUCUUUAAUCACGACAUAAUUGAAUUUGUUUAACAAACAUUGUUGACUGUUUGACUAUCGUGUAAACAUUUUUGCGAUGAAAUACAUUCAUGAUAUUCUAGGGACGAAAAACAAAACUGACUUUCAAAAAAGUCUAAGUUUUUAGAGGACUGAUUUUGUUUCUUUUUUUGACAGACACGGAUGCCAUUUCAUCAUGAAAAUGUACAAGUAGGUAAGAAACUAAGCAUGUCCAUUGCCGAAAAAGUAUACUCUUUUAAAACUUCCUAUUUUGGAUUUUUACAGUUCAUCCCAAAUGUACAUCCUCUCGGGAUAAGAGUGACACUUUAGGUACGUGGUUGAACUUUUGUUCUCACGCAUGAACCAUUGUCCCAUAUUCUUUUGCAAAAAAAAGUUAAAAAAUCAGCAUCAAUGCACCAUGCUUGUUCAUCAUAUCAGUAACAAAAAUAGGUGAAGUAGCAUAAGUAGGAUCAUAUUUCAUUCUAACAUUCAGAGAUUUUUCUUUAAGAUUAGCUAAUAACUUCUAAAGAUUAGAUCUAUCAUUGCAAGCAAUUCAUAUCUAGAUGGAGAAUCUUCGUCAUCAUUUUCAUCAAUAUUAUCAGUUUCAAUAAUUUCAUUCUCUCUAGCCCUAGCAAGUUGUUCAUCAAAAAAUUCACCUAGUGGCACAAUAUUAUCAAGUAUAGAAGUAGUCAAGUAUCAUGCAUAACAGAAGUGUCAUCAUCGAUAACAUGCGACAUAUCAGAAUCAAUAGCAUGUGUAGGUGUCGCAAGUUUACUCAUAAUAGAAGGUGAAUCAAGUGCAGAGCUAGAUGACAGUUCCUUACCUCCCCUCGUAGUUGAGGGAUAGUUCUUCAUAGUGACCAGCUGAUAUAAAUCCCAAGUGACUCAAAGAAUAGAGCUAUGCUCCCCGGCAACGGCGCCAGAAAAUAGUCUUGAUAACCCACAAGUAUAGGGGAUCACAACAGUUUUUAGAGGGUAGAUUAUUCAACCCAAAUUUAUUAAUUUGACACAAGGGGAGCCAAAGAAUAUUCUCAAGUAUUAGCAGCUGAGUUGUCAAUUCAACCAUACCUGGAUAACUUAAUAUCUGCAGCAAAGUAUUUAUUAGCAAAGUAAUAUGAUAGUAGUGGUAAUGGUGGUAAAAGUAACGGUAGCAGUUUUGGUUUUAUAGUGAUUGUAACAGUAGCAACGGAAAAGUAAAUAAGCGAAGAAUAAUAUAUGAAAAGCUCGUAGGCAUUGGAUCGGCGAUGGAGAAUUAUGUCGGAUGCGAUCGAUCAUGUAACAGUCAUAACAUAGGGUGACACAGAACUAACUCCAGUUCAUCAAUAUAAUGUAGGCAUGUAUUCCGAAUAUAGUCAUACGUGCUUAUGGGAAAGAACUUGCAUGCCAUCUUUUGUCCUACCCUCCCGUAGCAGCGAGGUCCUAUUGGAAACUAAGGGAUAUUAAGGCCUCCUUUUAAGAGUAACAAACCAAAACAUUAACACAUAGUGAAUACAUGAACUCCUCGAACUACGGUCAUCACCGGGAGUGGUCCCGAUUAUUGUCACUUCGGGGUUGCCGGAUUAUAACACAUAGUAGGUGACUAUAGACUUGCAAGAUAGGAUUAAAAACUCACAUAUAUUCAUGAAAACAUAAUAGGUGACAAGCAUUAAGCAUAGCAAAGUCAUAGCAACAUCAAUCUCAGAACAUAGUGGAUACUAGGGAUCAAACCCUAACAAAACUAACUCGAUUACAUGAUAAAUCUCAUCCAACUCAUCACCGUCCAGCAAGCCUACGAUGAAAUUACUCAUGGAUGGCGGUGAGCAUCAUGAAAUUGGUGAUGAAAGAAGGUUGAUGAUGACGAUGGCGAUGGAUUCUCCUCUUCGGAGCCCCGAACGGACUCCAGAUCAGCCCUCCCGAGAGAGUUUAGGGCUUGACGGCGGCUCCGUAUCGUAAAACGCGAUAAAUCCUUCUCUCUGAUUUUUUUCUCCCUAAACACGAAUAUAUGGAGUUGGAGUUGAGGUCGGUGGAGCGUCAGGGGGCCCACGAGGCAGGGGGCGCACCUAGGGGGUAGGCGCGCCCCCACCCUCGUGGACAGGUUAUGGGCCCCCUGGCCUUGAUUCUUUCGCCAGUAUUUUUUUAUAUAUUCCAGAAAUAAUCUCCGUUGAUUUUCAGUUCAUUCCAAGAACUUUUAUUUAUACACAAAAAUAACACCAUGGCAAUUCUGCUGAAAACAACGUCAAUCCGGGUUAGUUCCAUUCAAAUCAUGCAAGUUAGAGUCCAAAACAAGGGCAAAAGUGUUUGAAAAAGUAGAUACGGCGGAGACGUAUCAGAUAUCUGGCCUGGGCUAGACGGGCCACAGUCCGCCCAGUUAAUACCUGCAGUGAUGUUUUCGUUGUUGUUUAGAGGAGAAAAUUUAAUAGCUGGGCUAAACAUCGCUGAAGAAGAACUCUGUAGUGCUCACACCUCAAAAACACAAAUACUGCUCGAGCUACUUGGUCCCAGUUGUCGACCGCUUCUUGUGCAAUUCUCUCAUUUAUUAACUACAUAGGUUGAUAAUGGUGUGGGACCGUGAUGUCAGGAAACCAGGAGGAAGCAAAAAAAUUGUAGUUUUAUAUACUAAUAAGGAGGCACUUGCGUACGUGCGGCUAUGGCCCUGGUGGGUCCCCAUUGUCAUCCUCUCCAAGUAAAGUCAUCUCCUCAUCCUCAUGUCCAUUGACCAUGUUGACAACGCGAGACGGCGGCGCCACGGCGAGUGCAACAACUCAAAGGACGAUGGAGAGGGCCUCGCGGGCCCUACGGAUGGUCUGAUACAGCGCCCGCUGCUCAUUCGGGAAGCCAGGAUCAUAGGGCCACAUGUCCGCGACAGCAUUGUUGUUCGCUUGUUCACCGGUGCUCGUUGAGCAGACGGAGGUUGCACCACAGGUCCUCCUGCGCUGAUAGCUCUUCCGUCAUUAGGGCGUCGAAGUGUGGCCGCACCUGCUCUAUGGUGAACACGGCAUGAACCGGCUUGGACAGUGGCGCCGGCUCCUGGUCGGAAGCUACAUCCAUCGUCUGAUUGUCGUCGCUCAGCUCAGCGAGUUAGCUGGCGAGCCAGCAUGUCCGGCUGCUGGACCGACCCGCUGCCAAGCACGAGUCUGACUGCCCUGGCCCACCCAGACCGCCUCCCUCGCCUGCGCGCGCUUUCCGCCCAAAACGAUCAGCGCCGCCCGCCCCGCUUCCCGGUGCAGGCAAUUGCUCCGCCUUCCAACGACACAAGUGUCGUCCAUCCGUCCUUCUGCCGCCCACAUUAAUGAUAUGCGGUUGCCGAGGCGGCUACUCUGGCGCCACACGCCCGUCCCUCCGCCGCCCACCAUUGCUAUAUAAACUGUUGCGCCGGCCAUAGCCGUAGUCAUCUGCAUCCGUUCCCUUUCUCCUGUCCACACCACUAUUGCCCACCAUGGCUUCCUCGCACUCCAGCGCUCUUCGAGAUGGGCGGACGACGUACCACAAGGAGAUGGCAGCCAUUAUUGCCGACUGGCUGGCCGGCAGGCAGCCGAAGGAUGACGACGUCCCAAUGGAGAAGAUGGUAGUCGACGAUCCGGCGCCAACCCCCUCCUCCGCGCCAUCCUUGCCGGUGCAUUGCACCAUGACCAUCGGCGAGGCCCGUGCCCAAUAUAUGGACACGGUGAGGCAGAAGCGUGAGGAGCAGUUCCGGGAGGCACAGUCCGACGCCGCCUACAACCACCAUCUCCUUCAGGAGCACCUGCAGGCGGAGGAGCAGAUCACCGUGGAGCAGGCGGAGCAGGAGGCGCUACUCGACUCGUACCGCUCCGCCCGCGAGGGCCGCCUCGAGCGCUGGCGGUACCGCAUGCGGGUGGCGGAGGCUGCGACAGCCUACAAAGAGGGCGAUGAAGCGGGCGAGGCGCUGUUUGGCGAGACCGAGGACGAGGCAGAGGACAAUGCUGGCUCCGAUAAGUCCCCGCUCCGCUGGCGUCGAUGAGGCCCUGCUCCACCGAGGCCCCGCGGCGCCAACAACGAGGCAGAGGACAUCGGCGGCUCCGCCGAGGCCCCGCAACACCAACAACGAGCUAGAGGACACUGCCGGCUCCGCCGAGGCCCCACCCUGCCGGCAACGAGGGGGAGGAUUUCCCCGCUCCGCUGAGGCGCCGCCCGCCGACAAUGAGACAGAGGACAUCGCCGGCUCCUCCGAGGCCCCGUCCCGCUGCCAACGAGGCCGCGCCAUACAAAAAACAAGGAAGAGUAGAACACGGUAGGUCGCCGUCGCUCGGGUCCAAGUAAGGCCACCCCUGCUACCCGCAACUAUCCUUCGGUUGCUGGCACUGAGUUGUACAUCAUGGAGCAAUUCUAUGAUUACAGGAUGAUUGAAGACCGCUCCGUGGUUGAGCAAGUUCAUGAGAUACAGUCAUUUGCUAGAGAACUUGAGCACUUAAGUUGUAUGCUACCGGACACAGGUGGGUAGCUUCCGUUAAUUAAUUAUACAUCCAGCGCACCCUUUUUAGUUGAAGAAUGUAUGAAAUAUAAUGAAAUCCGGCAUGUUUAUAUGAAAUCUGACCGUGUAUGAAUGAAUUUAUUUCGAUUAGUUCAAAUUCUUGUAUCACUGGCAUUGGAUGAACAUGCAAAACAAUGCGUACUAGCAUUAUUCCUAGGGUGAUCACCUCAUUUGCAGCAGUUUCACAUGUACUCCCUCCGGUCCAUUCUAGUCUGCAUACAAGUUUUGUCUGCAGUCAAAGUAUCUCUACUUUGACCAAUCUUAUAGAAAAAAGUAUGCACUUCACGAUGUGCGAAGUAAAAAGGAACAGAAGGAGCACAAAGAGUUUGAGCAGCUUUUUAGCGUUUCUGUACAUUGCAAUCAAACACACAAGCCUGGCAAUUCAUAGAGAACAUUCAAAACAAUCGAUGGUUAUGAAGGAAAUAUGCCCUAGAGGUAAUAAUAAAGUUAUUAUAUAUUUCCUUAUAUCAUGAUAAAUGUUUAUUAUUCAUGCUAGAAUUGUAUUAAUCGGAAACAUAAUACAUGUGUGAAUACAUAGACAAACAGAGUGUCACUAGUAUGCCUCUACUUGACUAGCUCGUUGAUCAAAGAUGGUUAUGUUUCCUAACCAUAGACAUGAGUUGUCAUUUGAUUAAUGGGAUCACAUCAUUAGGAGAAUGAUGUGAUUGACUUGACCCAUUCCGUUAGCAUAGCACUUGAUCGUUUAGUUCGUUGCUAUUGCUUUCUUCAUGACUUAUACAUGUUCCUAUGACUAUGAGAUUAUGCAACUCCCGUUUACCGGAGGAACACUUUGUGUGCUACCAAACGUCACAACGUAACUGGGUGAUUAUAAAGGUGCUCUACAGGUGUCUCCGAAGGUACUUGUUGGGUUGGUGUAUUUCGAGAUUAGAAUUUGUCACUCCGAUUGUCAGAGAGGUAUCUCUGGGCCCUCUCGGUAAUGCACAUCACUUAAGCCUUGCAAGCAUUGCAACUAAUGAGUUAGUUGCGGGAUGAUGUAUUACGGAACGAGUAAAGAGACUUGCUGGUAAUGAGAUUGAACUAGGUAUUGAGAUACCGACGAUCGAAUCUCGGGCAAGUAACAUACUGAUGACAAAGGGAACAACGUAUGUUGUUAUGUGGUCUGACCGAUAAAGAUCUUCGUAGAAUAUGUGGGAGCCAAUAUGAGCAUCCAGGUUCUUCUAUUGGUUAUUGACCGGAGACGUAUCUCGGUCAUGUCUACAUUGUUCUCGAACCCGUAGGGUCCGCAUGCUUAAGGUUUCGAUGACAGUUAUAUUAUGAGUUUAUGAGUUUUGAUGUACCGAAGGAGUUCGGAGUCCCGGAUGAGACCGGGGACAUGACGAGGAGUCUCGAAAUGGUCGGGACAUAAAGAUCGAUAUAUUGGACGACUAUAUUCGGACAUCGGAAAGGUUCCGAGUGAUUCGGGUAUUUUUCGGAGUACCGGAGAGUUACGGGAAUUCGCCGGGGAGUAUAUGGGCCUUAUUGGGCCAUAUGGGAAUAGAGGAGAGAGGCCAAAAGGAAGGAGGCGCCCCCCCCCUCUGGUCCGAAUUGGACAAGGGGUGCAGCCCACUUUUCCUUGUUCCUCUCCCCUUCUUUCCUUCUCUCCUACUCCAACAAGGGAAGGAUGAGUCCUACUCCCGGUGGGAGUAGGACUCCCCCCUUGGCGCGCCCUCCUCCUAGGCCGGCCACCUCUCCCCUUGCUCCUUUAUAUACAUGGGCAGGGGGGCACCUCUAGACACACAAGUUGAACAAGUUGAUCAGUUGAUCUCUCCCAGCCAUGUGCGGUGCCCCCCUCCACCAUAUUUCACCUCGGUCAUAUCGUAGCGGUGCUUAGGUGAAGCCCUGCGUCGGUAGCAACAUCAUCACCGUCACCACGCCGUCGUGCUGACGGAACUCUCCCGUGAAGCUCUGCUGGAUCGGAGUUCGCGGGAUGUCAUCGAGCUGAACGUGUGCUGAACUCGGAGGUGCCGUGCGUUCGGUACUUGGAUCGGUGGGAUCGUGAAGACGUACAACUACAUCAACCGCGUUGUGCUAACGCUUCCGCUUUCGGUCUAUGAGGGUACGUGGACAACAUUCUCCCCUCUCGUUGCUAUGCAUCACCAUGAUCUUGCGUGUGCGUAGGAUUUUUUUUGAAAUUACUACGUUCCCCAAUAGUGGUAACAGAGCCAGGUUUUAUGCGUUGAUGUUAUGCACGAGUAGAACACAAGUGAGUUGUGGGCGAUAUAAGUCAUACUACUUACCAGCAUGUCAUACUUUGGUUCGGCGGUAUUGUUGGAUGAAACGGCCCGGACCGACAUUACGCGUAUGCUUACGCGAGACUGGUUCUACCGACGUGCUUUGCACACAGGUGGCUGGCGGGUGUCAGUUUCUCCAACUUUAGUUGAACCGAGUGUGGCUACGCUCGGUCCUUGCGAAGGUUAAAACAGCACCAACUUGACAAACUAUCGUUGUGGUUUUGAUGCGUAGGUAAGAACGGUUCUUACUCAGCCUGUAGCAGCCACGUAAAACUUGCAACAACAAAGUAGAGGACAUCUAACUUGUUUUUGCAGGGCAUGUUGUGAUGUGAUAUGGUCAAGACAUGAUGCUAAAUUUUAUUGUAUGAGAUGAUUAUGUUUUGUAACCGAGUUAUCGGCAACUGGCAGGAGCCAUAUGGUUGUCGCUUUAUUGUAUGCAAUGCAAUCGCGCUGUAAUGCUUUACUUUAUCACUAAGCGAUAGCGAUAGUCGUGGAAGCAUAAGAUUGGCGAGAAGACAAUGAUGCUACGAUGGAGAUCAAGGUGUCGCGCCGGUGACGAUGGUGAUCAUGACGGUACUUCGGAGAUGGAGAUCACAAGUACAAGAUGAUGAUGGCCAUAUCAUAUCACUUAUAUUGAUUGCAUGUGAUGUUUAUCUUUUUUGCAUCUUAUCUUGCUUUGAUUGACGGUAGCAUUAUAAGAUGAUCCCUCACUAAAUUAUCAAAGUAUAAGUGUUCUCCCUAAGUAUGCACCGUUGCGAAAGUUCUUCAUGCUGAGACACCACGUGAUGAUCGGGUGUGAUAGGCUCUACGUUCAAAUACAAUGGGUGCAAAACAGUUGCACACGCGGAAUACUCAGGUUAAACUUGACGAGCCUAGCAUAUAACAGAUAUGGCCUCGGAACACGGAGACCGAAAGGUCGAGCGUGAAUCAUAUAGUAGAUAUGAUCAACAUAGUGAUGUUCACCAUUGAAACUACUCCAUCUCACAUGAUGAUCGGACAUGGUUUAGUUGAUCUGGAUCACGUGAUCACUUAGAGGAUUAGAGGGAUGUCUAUCUAAGUGGGAGUUCUUAAGUAAUAUGAUUAAAUUGAACUUAAAUUUAUCAUGAACUUAGUCCUGAUAGUAUUUUUCAAAUCAUGUUGUAGAUCAAUAGCUCGCGUUGUUGCUUCCCUGUGUUUAAUUUUUAUAUGUUCCUAGAGAAAACUAAGUUGAAAAAUGUUAGUAGCAAUGCUGCGGAUUGGAUCCGUGAUCUGAGGAUUAUCCUCAUUGCUGCAUAGAAGAAUUAUGUCCUUGAUGCACCGCUAGGUGAUAGACCUAUUGCAGGAGCAGAUGCAGACGUUCUGAACGUUUGGCUAGAUCAAUAUGAUGACUACUUGAUAGUUUAGUGCACCAUGCUUAUCGGCUUAGAAUCGGGACUUCAAAGGCGUUUUUAACGUCAUGGAACAUAUGAGAUGUUCCAGGAGUUGAAGUUAAUAUUUCAAGCAAAUACCCGAGUUGGGAGAUAUGAAGUAUCCAACAAGUUCUAUAGCUAAAAGAUGGAGGAGAAUGGCUCAAGCAGUGAGCAUGUGCUCAGAUUGUCUGGGCACUACAAUCGCUUGAAUCAAAUGGGAGUUAAUAUUCCAGAUAAAAUAGUGAUUGACAAAAUUCUCUAGUCACCAUCACCAAGUUAGUAGAACUUCGUGAUGAACUAUGAUAUGCAAGGGAUAACGGAAACGAUUCCCAAGCUCUUCGUAAUGCUGAAAUCGACGAAGGUAGAAAUCAAGAAAAAUAUCAAGUGUUGAUGGUAGACAAGACCACUAGUUUCAAGAAAAGGGCAAAGGGAAGAAGGGGAACGUCAAGAAGAACGACAAGCAAGUUGCUGCUCAAGUGAAGAAGCCCAAGUCUGGUCCUAAGCCUGAGACUAAGUGCUUCUACUGCAAAGGGACUGGUCACUGGAAGCGGAACUGCCCCAAGUAUUUGGCGGAUAAGAAGGAUGGCAAAGUGAACAAAGGUAUAUUUGAUAUACAGAUUACUGAUGUGUAUUUUACUAGUGUUCGUAGAAAUCCCUCGGUAUUUGAUACUGGUUCAGUUGCUAAGAGUAGUAACUUGAAAUGGGAGUUGCAGAAUGAACAUAGAAUAGUUAAGGGUGAAGUGACGAUGUGUGUUGGAAGUGGUUCCAAGAUUGAUAUAAUCAUCAUCGCACACUCCCUAUACUUUUGGGAUUAGUGUUGAACCUAAAUAAGUGUUAUUUGGUGUUUGCGUUGAGCAUGAAUAUGAUUUGAUCAUGUUUAUUGCAAUACGGUUAUUCAUUUAAGUAAGGGAAUAAAUUGUUGUUCUGUUUACAUGAAUAAAACCUUAUAUGGUUACACACCCAAUGAAAAUGGUUCAUUGGAUCUGGAUCGUAGUGAUACACAUAUUCAUAAUAUUGAAACCAAAAGAUGCAAAGUUAAUAAUGACGGUGCAACUUAUUUGUGGCACUACCGUUUAGGUCAUAUUGGUGUAAAGCGCAUGAAGAAAAUCCAUGCUGAUGGGCUUUUGGAAUCACUUGAUUAUGAAUCAGUUGAUGCUUGCGAACCAUGCCUCAUGGGCAAGAUGACUAAGACUCCAUUCUCCGGAACAAUGGAGCGAGCAACAGAUUUGUUGGAAAUCAUACAUACUAAUGUAUGUGGUCCGAUGAAUAUUGAGGCUCGCGGCAGGUAUCAUUAUUUUCUGAUCUUCACAAAUGAUUUGAGCAGAUAUGAGUAUAUCUACUUGAUGAAACACAAGUCUGAAACAUUUGAAAAAGUUCGAAGAAUUUCAGAGUGAAGUGGAGAAUCAUUGUAACAAAAAUAAAAGUUUCUACGAUAUGAUCGCAGAAGUAAAAUAUUCGAGUUACGAGUUUGGCCUUCAGUUAAAAACAAUGUGAAAUAGUUUCACUACUCACGCCACCUGGAACACCACAAUGUAAUGGUGUAUCCAAACGUCGUAAUCGUACUUUAUUAGAUAUGGUGCGAUCUAUGAUGUCUCUUACCAAUUUACCACUAUCGUUUUGGGGUUAUGCAUUAGAGACAACUGCAUUCACGUUAAAUAGGGCACCAUCUAAAUCCGUUGAGACGACGCAGUAUGAACUAUGGUUUGGCAAGAAACCAAAGUUGUCGUUUCUUAAAAUUUGAGGUUGCAAUGCUUAUGUGAGAAAGUUUCAACCUGAUAAGCUCAAACCCAAAUCAGAGAAGUGCGUCUUCAUAGGAUACCCAAAAGAAAAUGUUGGGCACACCUUCUAUCACAGAUCCGAAGGCAAGAUAUUUGUUGUUUUGAAUGGAUCCUUUCUAUAAAAGGAGUUUCUCUCGAAAGAAGUGAGUGGGAGGAAAGUAGAACUUGAUGAGGUAACUGUACCUGCUCCCUUAUUGGAAAGUAGUUCAUCACAUAAAUAUGUUCCUGUGACUACUACACCAAUUAGUGAGGAAGCUAAUGACGAUGAUCAUGUAACUUCAGAUCAAGUUGCUACCGAACCUCGUAGGUAAACCAGAGUGAGAUCCGCACCAGAGUGGUAUGGUAAUCCUGUUCUGGAGGUCAUGUUACUUGACCAUGAUGAGCCUACGAACUAUGAGGAAGCGAUGAUGAGCCCAGAUUCCGUGAAAUGGCUUGAGGCCAUGAAAUCUGAGAUGAGAUCCAUGUAUGAGAACAAAGUAUGGACUUUGGUUGACUUACCCAAUGAUCGGCGAGCCAUUGAGAUUAAAUGGAUCUUCAAGAGGAAGACGAACGCUGAUAGUAGUGUUACUAUCUACAAAGCUAGAAUUGUCGCAAAAAGGUUUUCGACAAGUUCAAGGUGUUGACUACGAUGAGAGUUUCUCACUCAUAUCUAUGCUUAAGUAUGUUCGAAUCAUGUUAGCAAUUGCCGCAUUUUAUGAAAUCUGGCAAAUGGAUAAACAAAACUGCAUUCCUUAAUGGAUUUAUUAAAGUUGUAUAUGAUGCAACCAGAAGGUUUUGUCAAUCCUAAAGGUACUAACAAAAUAUGCAAGCUCCAGCGAUCCAUCUAUGGACUGGUGCAAGCAUCUCAGAGUUGGAAUAUACGCUUUGAUAAGUUGAUCAAAGCAUAUAGUGUUAUACAGACUUGUGGUGAAGCCUAUAUUUAUAAGAAAGUGAGUGGGAGCACUACAACAUUUCUGAUAAGUAUAUGUGAAUGACAUAUUGUUGAUCGGAGAUAAUGUAGAAUUAUUCUACAAAGCAUAAAGGAAUGUUUGAAAGGAUUUUUUCAAAGAAAGACCUCGGUGAAGCUGCGUACAUAUUGAGCAUCAAGAUCUAUAGAGAUAGAUCAAUACGCUUGAUAAGUUUUUUCAACGAGUACAUACCUUGACAAGAUUUUGAAGUAGUUCAAAAUGGAAUAGUCAAAGAAGGAGUUCUUGCCUGUGUUACAAGGUGUGAAGUUGAGUAAGACCCAAAAACCCGACCACGGCAGAAGAUAGAGAGAGAAUGAAAGUCAUUCCCUAUGCCUCAGCCAUAGGUUCUAUAAAGUAUGCCAUGCUGUGUGCCAGACCUAUUGUAUACUCUGCCCUGAGUUUGGCAAGGGAGUACAAUAGUGAUCUAGGAGUAGAUCACUGGACAUUGGUCAAAAUUAUCCUUAGUGGAACAAGGAUAUGUUUCUCGAUUAUGGAGGUGACAAAAGGUUCGUCGUAAAGGGUUACGUUGAUGCAAGUUUUGACACUGAUCCAGAUGACUCUAAGUCUCAAUCUGGAUACAUAUUGAAAGUGGGAGCAAUUAGCUAGAGUAGCUCCGUGCAGAGCAUUGUUGACAUAGAAAUUUGCAAAAUACGUACGGAUCUGAAUAUGGCAGACCCAUUGACUAAACUUCUCUCACAAGCAAAACAUGAUCACACCUUAGUACUCUUUGGGUGUUAAUCACAUAGCGAUGUGAACUAGAUUAUUGACUCUAGUAAACCCUUUAGGUGUUAGUCACAUGUCGAUGUGAACUAUGGGUGUUAAUCACAUGGUGAUGUGAACUAUUGGUAUUAAAUCACAUGGUGAUGUGAACUAGAUUAUUGACUCUAGUGCAAGUGGGAGACUGAAGGAAAUAUGCCCUAGAGGCAAUAAUAAAGUUAUUAUAUAUUUCCUUAUAUCAUGAUAAAUGUUUAUUAUUCAUGCUAGAAUUGUAUUAACCGGAAACAUAAUACAUGUGUGAAUACAUAGACAAACAGAGUGUCACUAGUAUGCCUCUACUUGACUAGCUCGUUGAUCAAAGAUGGUUAUGUUUCCUAACCAUAAACAUGAGUUGUCAUUUGAUUAACGGGAUCACAUCAUUAGGAGAAUGAUGUGAUUGACUUGACCCAUUCCGUUAGCAUGGCACUUGAUCGUUUAGUUUGUUGCUAUUGCUUUCUUCAUGACUUAUACAUGUUCCUAUGACUAUGAGAUUAUGCAACUCCCGUUUACCGGAGGAACACUUUGUGUGCUACCAAACAUCACAACGUAACUGGGUGAUUAUAAAGGUGCUCUACAGGUGUCUCCGAAGGUACUUUUUGGGUUGGCGUAUUUCGAGAUUAGAAUUUGUCACUCCGAUUGUCAGAGAGGUAUCUCUGGGCCCUCUCGGUAAUGCACAUCACUUAAGCCUUGCAAGCAUUGCAACUAAUGAGUUAGUUGCGGGAUGAUGUAUUACGGAACGAGUAAAGAGACUUGCUGGUAACGAGAUUGAACUAGGUAUUGAGAUACCGAUGAUCGAAUCUCGGGCAAGUAACAUACCGAUGACAAAGGGAACAACGUAUGUUGUUAUGCGGUCUGACCGAUAAAGAUCUUCGUAUAAUAUGUGGGAGCCAAUAUGAGCAUCCAAGUUCCGCUAUUGGUUAUUGACCAGAGACGUAUCUCGGUCAUGUCUACAUUGUUCUCGAACCCAUAGGGUCCGCACGCUUAAGGUUUCGAUGACAGUUAUAUUAUGAGUUUAUGAGUUUUGAUGUACCGAAGGAGUUCGGAGUCUCGGAUGAGAUCGGGGACAUGACGAGGAGUCUCAAAAUGGUCGAGACGUAAAGAUCGAUAUAUUGGACAACUAUAUUCGGACAUCGGAAAGGUUCCAAGUGAUUCGGGUAUUUUUCGGAGUACCGGAGAGUUACGGGAAUUCGCCGGGGAGUAUAUGGGCCUUAUUGGGCCAUACGGGAAUAGAGGAGAGAGGCCAAAAGGAAGGAGGCACGCGCCCCCCUCUGGUCCGAAUUGGACAAGGGGUGCAACCCACUUUUCCUUGUUCCUCUCCCCCUCUUUCCUUCUCUCCUACUCCAACAAGGGAAGGAGGAGUCCUACUCCCGGUGGGAGUAGGACUCCCCCCUUGGCGCGCCCUCCUCCUAGGCCGGCCACCUCUCCCCUUGCUCCUUUAUAUACAUGGGCAGGGGGGCACCUCUAGACACACAAGUUGAACACGUUGAUCUCUCCCAGCCGUGUGCGGUGCCCCCCUCCACCAUAUUCCACCUCGGUCAUAUCGUAGCGGUGCUUAGGAGAAGCCCUGCGUCGGUAGCAACGUCAUCACCGUCACCACGCCGUCGUGCUGACGGAACUCUCCCGUGAAGCUCUGCUGGAUCGGAGUUCGCGGGACGUCAUCGAGCUGAACGUGUGCUGAACUCGGAGGUGCUGUGUGUUCGGUACUUGGAUCGGUCGGAUCGUGAAGACGUACGACUACAUCAACCGCGUUGUGCUAACGCUUCCGCUUUCGAUCUACGAGGGUACGUGGACAACACUCUCCCCUCUCGUUGCUAUGCAUCACCAUGAUCUUGCAUGUGCGUAGGAAUUUUUUUGAAAUUACUACGUUCCCCAAUAGGUUAUGCAUCUCAGUGAUUCACAUGCCAGAGCCAAUAUUUACUUCACAACUACAGAAUAAAUAAAAAAUGGAUUGACGCUGCUGACAGCAAAGGGUGUCCCAUUUGAAAAUAUCAAACGCAUGUCUUCUUGCUAAAAUCAAUGUGCAAAAUUUGACAAGGUUGUCCCAUUCCAAAAUAUCAAAUGCGUACGAUUGUGGAACGGGCAGGGUUUGCCAUUAGUUUGGACAUUGACAUGGCACCUCGUGCUAAAUAAACCAGCUGUUCUUCUUGUGUAGUUUCACCAAAAUUAACCAAAUUUGCUCGGCACCUCCUUUCUUGUGGUGGAAAUGAAUGAUUCGGUGUAUUCAUGAACAUUUUGUGUAGUUCCCAUUGAAAUCAAGCUGAGCACCCCUAUUUGCACAAAUACAAGAAAAGUGAUUAGUAUAAAGCAACUGUACUAUGAAUUGACAGUUUAAACAGGCACCUACAUGGUCCAUGUAGAGCACACUUUUAGAAAAAUGGAACUCAUCAGAAAGAAUCCUAGAACAACAUUGUACUCGCGCAUCGCAGCAAGAAAAUGGAGAUUUGUCGGUCCUUCUGAGAUGAAGUUAGUUUGGUCUUGUGGGGGGUAAUGUAACCAUCCUUCAACUGCUCCUUCUGAUGAGAAGAUAGGCAGUGCUUCUUCAUCCUGGCAUAAUCGGAACUAGUCACUUCACGUACUCCAUAUUCUUCUUCAGAGGAGGAUGAUCCUGUUGUGCAAAGACAAGAGAACAACUAAAUGCUAGCAUCCCUGUUUGCUCAAAAAAAGGAAAGGAAAUAUUUAGGGGCUGUUUGGUUUGAGACUAAGUUUGCCAAAGCUUGCCACACCUAAGGUUAGGCAAGUUUGACCAAUUUAGGUGUGUGUUUGGUUCAAGCCACAUUUUAGGCAAGCCACACUAUGGCCCCACGUCACAUACACACAAAAAGUGUGGCAAGAUUCCCUUAGGCUUGCCAAAUUGUGGCUCUCAUUUUAAAGAACUAACCUUAGGCAAGUUUGGUAACAUUUGUAUGGCAAAGUGUGGCACUCUUAGGCCUAGAACCAAACAACACCUUAAAAUAGCACAGAUGAAGCACUUCUCAAGGACAAUACCACUUUUUGAUGACAAUAUCUAAACAGUAGCACAACACCAAUAGAGAUGACAAAGCUUAAUCAUAUGGAUGAAAUCAGUGGGCGAGUACCAACCUUUGUCAGGAGGCUUAUUGUGUAGAGCAUACAGAUGAAGCAUUUCUCCGGAAUCAUCUAUUGCUAUCUACUGUGGUGGCCAUGCUUACUAUAUACUCCUCGAUUAGUUUAAUGUUUCCAACAUCUUCUUGUGCAGUUCCACUAAAAUAUAUGGUAUCUUCAAAGAAGAUCCCUGUUUGCACAAGUAGAGAUAAUUGCGUAUUACAUUAAUAGUGGCAUCAAAUCAGUGGCAAAACAAUUGCUUGUUCCAGCCAUAGCAAUAAAUUAAGAUGCAAAACUAUAUCAUUACUUGUGUCAUCACAGUUCCAAUGCUUCAUUACAACACCGAGAGUUGAUUUUUGUUUUUCUUCCGCUUGUUCUUCCCCUUCAUCACUUGGUUCAAUAACAGACAAGCUUCGCCUUCAAUGUAAGAUUUGGCAUGUCAAUUAGGUUGCACAAGUAUAGCAAUGAAAGUGACAAAAUAUAGGCCAACAGUUGUGAAAUAUCCUUAUCUUAUCUCAAUGGGAUAUUACGGUGCACAUACAGAUUGGAAGUCUUGUCUCCAUUUGUGUAGUUCACUAAAAUCAAGCAACAUUACCGUACAAGUAGCACAACAUAUGAAAGCACACUGCAGAAUCAUGUGAAAUAAGGCUAGUAUUGACCUCUCAUGACAUGGAAUUCAAACAACUCACACGAAGAAGAUCUGAACCAAAUUUGCCAACACAGAUAGGAAGUAAGAUCUCCUCUUGUGCAGUUCCACUAAGAUCAAGCAAUCAAGCAACGUUGUCGGUGUGACAUUUUGGUUGAAUUGCACAAAACACUCUUAAAACAAAAGUGUUUUGUGCAGUGCAACAAAAGGUCACAAUGGCAACGAGGUGAAGUAGAUAACCAUGUUUACACAGAGGUGCAAAGGAAACAACUAGUGGUCAAUAACGAUGGAUGACACAAAAGCCAACAAAAAGAAGCAUCUACCUUAUCUAAACGGGAAAGAAAGCAAGACAGUAGCAUUUCUCAAACGAUGGCAUUGAUUAAUAUUAAUAGAGAGAUUAUAUUAAUAAUAAAAUUCGUUAAACAUGUAAUUUGCUUUUAACUAUGACAUUGCAUCAAUUUUCCAGCGGCAUUAUUAGAGGGUGUUUGUUUACAGGGACAUUUUGGUGGAGGGACUAAAAAAACUCCGUGUCAGUCCCAUCUAAACCAAACAAGGGGGACUUUUAGGGACUAAAAGUGGGCAUUUGGGACUAAAGAAAGAAGACCCUGCCACGGAUCGCACCUUGUCUCUAUUAGUUCAUUACUAGGGGUAACAUGGUCUUUUAGCAUGUCAUUUAAUAACCUCUAUUCCAUGUUUAGUCCCUGGAACCAAGCAUGCAGGGACUAGGGAGUUUUUAACCAAACAGGGCGUUAGAUUAACAACAACUAAAGAGUUGCGCGGAACAGUGGACGCACUAGCACCAUGUGCAUCUACCGAUGUACUGGGGUGAUGCACAGUCUGUUGCAACAAAGAACAAACAACCAAGGAGCAUAUUUGUGUUGGUCCCAGUUUUGUUAUCUUUAGACACCUUUCCCUAUGUGAGUGCAGCAAAUUUAGUCCUGCUCAAACUCUAUGGCCUUGUCCCCAAAAACAAAAGAUCAGUUCGUUAUAGAUGUGCAUACUGUGUUUGUCAUUGUUUUCCCUUUUCGACCAACGUAGGUGCUGGAUAGCCAGUCUGUACUAGUACUUUCCCCCUUCCUUUCCUCUUUGAACCACGUCCUAGAUUUAUGCUAUACAACUUCCCCCCAUUCCUUUCCUCUUUGAACCACAUCUUACAUUCAUGCGAUACAACUUUCCCCCUUCCUUUCCUUUUUGAACCACGUCCUAGAUUCAUGCUAUACAACUUUUCCCACUACUUUCCCCCAUUCCUUUCCUCUUUGAACCACAUCCUAGAUUCAUGGUAUACAACUUUCCCCACUACUUUCUUGUUUGAUCCAACACCUAGAUUCAAGUGCAGAAGCGGAAAAGGCCCACAUGCAGCUAGAGUAAUGCAUGUGGAAUAAGUAAAUUAUACCUUAAGGUUCUUGGGGUGUGGUUCGGUGGGCGAUCGGAGGCCGUUCGGCCCACAAUAUGUACGACGGUGAAGAAGAAGGGGUCGGAGGCCCUCCCGCUCCGCCGCUGGGUGAAAGUGAACAGCUGCGCUGGUAGUGGAUUCCCUCCCUCGUCGACGGCGACAGCGUUAAGCCUCCUUCCCUUCUCGACGGACGGAUCCUGCCGGCUCUUUGACCAACAGUGAGGGGGGAGAGAGAGAGAGGCCAACGAAGUCUUGUUUAGAUCUGGAGAGGGUGAGAGAGUGUGAAGAGAGCAACUACAAGCAGACCAGCAGUGAGGGGAGAGAGAGAGGCCAACGAAGUCUUGUUUAGAUCUGGAGAGGGUGAGAGAGUGUGAAGAGAGCAACUACAAGCAGACCAUCAGUGAGGGGAGAGAGAGAGAGGCCAACGAAGUCUUGUUUAGAUCUGGAGAGGGUGAGAGAGUGUGAAGAGAGCAACUACAAACGCUGACGCUCCAGCGUGUAUAUAUAUACUGGAGAGAGUGUGAAGAGUGCAAACCCUAGAAAACAAGAGCCGAGGCUGCAGCUGAUCGUAUAGCUCCGUAUCCAUCCAUUUUGAGCAGUCAAAGAAUCCUCCUGGCAGGAAUUAUGCUCAAGUGUAGUUAUUGAACCCGAGACCUCAAGUUUGAUGAGCGAACAGGCUAACCAGCUCCAGUUAUGUUCAGCGAGAGGAAAAUAACCUUUUAUACAUUCCUGCAUUCAUGUGACAAGCAUGCCGUGUUUUUUUGUGGGAGUCAUUGGGAUUUAAAUCAUAAUCAUGUGGCUUUGGUGGUAAGACUAUCCAUAGUGGUGCGGAAAUAAUGCAGCCUUAGUCACCUUACCUCUCUCCACGUAGUAUGUUGGGUCCCACCAGUCAGAGGGUGAAACAAACAAAUUAAAAAAAAUUAAAAGCGCGAGCGUUGUAUCUUACCUCACACAUCUCGCUACUGCUCGGGAACACUGUCCAAUUGAUCCCUCUGUUCGCUCACGUACUAUUUUAAGUGAAUCCUUAUUAUAACAUGCACACAAGUUUGGGCACUUGUAUUUGACCUAAGUCAGUGUGCCACCAUAUCUCAUAUGACUCCCCCCGUCUAGGUGUAAUAAGUCACGUUAGAAGGUGCAGCGGGACCAAGGUGCAAGCAGAUUGGAGGAGAAGGAGAAACUUGACUGGUCAUUCCUCCAAUCAAAGCCCUGAUUUCUGUCUCUAAAUGCAACAAUUAACCCAAACAACUAAGAGAUGUUGUUUUAGCUACCAAUGCAGGGCCACGUAUUAACUCGCAUGCAAGCCGACUUUGAUUUCUUGACUGAUCAAUGCGUAGUUGCGCUUCAUGCAUUGGGUUUCCGGGGGAGAUAACAAGGCAGAGUAAGGAGCGUUUGGUUACAUUGCUUAGGCUGGUCAUAGUGGUGAGUAACUUGGACUAGUAACAUGCAUAUGUUACUAGUCUAUGUUACUACUACGUGAAGUUUGCCGUCGGAAGCGAGCCGAUCUGGCUCUCCUGAGCUAGCAAGGUUUUUCUAGCCCACCCAAGCUAGCUGGCCCACAAAAGCUAACAUAUUUUAACAGUUCGAAAUGCCUAACCUUGCCCAGCUAUGCUAUAAGCUGUUCUUGCUAAGGAGCCAAAUGCUCCCUAGGUAACAACGCUCGCUAGCAACGAGGCCAGGAGGGGAUUGAGAUGCGAAGUUAAUGGAUGAUGCCUAAACAUUUUGGGAAUAUCUGAUUUCCGUAAGAUGACUUAACACCUAGACGGAGGGAGUACUACUCCUCAGUCCAGGUUUGAUGGAAUAUUCGUCACCUCUUCGCUUCUUGUACAUACUCCAUUUGUAUCUCACUUCCUAUGGGUUCGCACUCGCACGAUUUCCCCAUUCUAUGAACCUGUGUGUGCGUGUGCGUGCGUGUGUGUGUGUGUGUGUGUUUAACAGCGCGUGUGUGUUAGAGAGAGCGACAGAUCGACCUACUCCUACAAAGAGAUAGUGCGUAGUGUACGAUUUUAGCAGCGAGAGUCGGUGCAUCCUCUUGUUUCCGGGCGUCCGGUAGGGACAGGCGGACAGCUGCCACGCCCACUCCUGACCAGCCUGGCCCACCCAAAGCCCCUUCAUCGCCUGUGUGCGCUUCCUGCCCAGAACGGUCAGCGCCGCUCCACAGAAUCGGUGCCGCAUUCAUGCCCUGGCAGAGCGGACGCGACCUCUCACUGGCACCUGUGUUGAAGGGAGAAGCGGAUUCAAGGGUGGUGGUUGCUUCGUCCGUCCAACUUACUGCUGGGUCUAUGUGAUUUGACGGCUCAUUGGUCAUUAUUACUGAGGUGGUAGGACUGCUGGAUGUCCCACGCUUUCGGCGAAAGGAGGUACUACUAGAUUACAAUUUUCUCCAUUCUUACGGCGGAGGAGUGCAAGAGCAGUGAAAACACGUAGGCUCAGUGAUUACAUGGCCCACCUCACACUAUCACCAUAUUUUCUAAACACCAUGCGACACCUAACUCUUUACAUAGUACUCCCUCCGUUCCUAAAUAUAAAGUCUUUGUAGAGAUUUCACUAGGUGGACUACAUACGGAACAAAAUGAAUGAAUCUACACUUAAAAUGCAUCUAUAUACAUUUGCAUGUGGUUCAUGGUGAAAUCUCUACAAAGACUUAUAUUUAAGAAUGGAGGAAGUACUAGUAUAGUACGUACUGUAAUUUAUCAGGGAGAUAGUACAAUGCUAUGAAGCUUCCAGCUUCUGUUACAUGUAUCUUGCGUCCAAGGUUGCCUGUUGCAACAUUUCAUCAAAUAAAAAGGAGACUAACAUGCAUGCUAUUGCAUCUCAAUGAUUGACAGAUCAUAGCAAAUAUGUACUCCCUCCAUUCCAAAAUAAGUGUGUCAACUUUACUAGCAAAAGAGCCCGUGCGUUGCAAUGGGAGAGAAAACAUAACACACGCUCUUAACUCAACAACCAUCACUCAAGACCACAAUAGGUCCAUCUCCUUUAUUUUUGCGUGGCAUCAUAUUUGUGUUGCCACUUAUCCUCCUUCUCACCCUCACCGACGAUGGCCUCGGUGUUCACACAAAACAACAAAAAACGUGUGUUGAAUAUGGUUAAUCUUAAGGCGUCUCUCUCCCUCUCUCCUCUCUCUCUCUCUCUCUCUCUCACUUUCUCUCACUCUCGCGAUGAGAAAUCUAUUAUUUCCCCCUGCGACAUUUUUCAGAGGUAUGGAUGUGUAGUUAUCGAUAUUUUCUUUUUCCUAUAUGGUUAUAGUGGGGUGUUUAUUUGCAAUCUGGAUCGCCGCCGGUAUGAAAAAAAUGGAUCUUGCGCUAUAAAUUAUAAGUUUGCUUCCAUAACAAUUUUUUCAAAAUAUUUAACAGGUAAAAUUAAAAUCAUAUUUAGAUUCCACCACAUUUUUCUAAUAAAAUUUCAUAUAUAAUAUAUUAAAAUCGAAGUUACGGUUUAAAAGAUAUAGAUAAUUUAGAAAAUCAUUUGGUUUGACUCAAAUAUAUGCCAAAUAAUAUUUAAAAAUACUUAACAGGUAAAUAUAAUCUCAUAUUCAUAUUCUACAUAUUUUUCUAAACAAAUUUCAUAUAUAACAUGUUCAAAUUGGAGUUACGGUUUAAAAGAUAUGGAUGAUUUUAAAAAGCAUUUGUUUGACUUAAAUAUGAUUCGCGGAUGAAUUACCUAAAACAUCAAGGGGGUUUUAAAAAAAUGUAAAAUAACGGUUCGGGUGUGACUUAAAUCCGGAUGGCGGGUUGAUUUGAAGAAAAGACAAGAACUUUUGUGUAAAAUACGAAAAUAACGAAUCGUUUUAACUUAAAACAGGAUAGCGGGUUGAAUUCUCUGAAAUAGAGGGUCUUUUCUGAAAAAUGCCAUGACGGACGAAAGAAAACCAAUUUGCUUUAUUAUUAGGUAAAGAUGCAGGGGGUGUUUGUUUCCAGGGAAUUUUUAGUGUAGGGACUAGAAAAAGUCCCUCUUAGAGACUUUUUAACCAAACAGGAGGGACUACUACGGACUAAAACUUGCUUUUUGGGACUUAAUGAAGAAGACUCUCAAGGAGAGUCUUUUUUGGGACUUUUCCAACAAUGCCCCUCCCUGCACCCAUUGCCCCGCCGCCCCAUGGCGUUGUUUGGUUGUUAUUUUUCUGUAUACUAGGGGUAACAUGGUCAUUCAAUAACCUCUAGGGAGGAACUAGGGACUUUUUAGUCCCUGAAAACAAACAGGGAGUGACUUUUUAAGGAGUAGGGACUUUUUAGUUGGGACUAGAAAAAGUCCUAGGACUUAUGAACCAAACAUGGCCUCAAUAUGGACUACAUACGGAGCAAAAUGAGUGAAUCUACACUCUAAAAUACGUCUAUAUACAUCAGUGUUUGGAGUAUGUACUAGUAGUUCAUAUUGAAAUCUACUAAAGGACAUAUAUAUUCCAAACAAUAUGAUAAUCUCUCUAACCAAGGUGGUAGGGACAAGGAGUAAACGGAGGGAGUAGUAACAUUUUCUCCUCGUCCUGCGAGCCACCGCACGCGUGGGCAAGGGAGCAGGCAUAAGGCGUACAAUACUACUACUAGUAAGCAAGCUUCACCUCAUCCUAUGAGCCACCGCACCCGUGGGCGGGGGAGACGGCGUACUAAGAAAGCUUCUCCUCAUUCUGCGAGUUGACGGGACACAUCAAAAGUACUCCAAUGUGUAUAGAACCUUGCCUCUAAGGUAGGCCCUGCAUGGUUUGCCUCUUUUUUAACAUAACACGUCAAGUCGCAAUUUGUUUGUUCACAUGUGGUAGACGAUCCUCCCUCCAUCUAGUGGACAACCAAUACACGUGUUAAAUUACCACGUGGGCUGCCUUUUCAUACAGAAAUGAGCUCCACCGUGUACCCGUGUGGGUGUGGUUGGGAAAGAGACGGGAGUACGUGCGCCGUGCGUGCACCUCUUCUCUUCAUGCACGCCCCCACCUACAUGGGUGUGUGAGAGAGAUACAAACCUAGACAAAUGGCUUGUGCGUUCGUGAGUGUUUUUUUUGGGGGGGGGGGAGGUUGAUUCCGUGAAUGUAUUUGUGGGAAUGUGUCGAUGACAUCUCAAACAAAUUUUUGCAUGCAAUGUGUGUGAAAUGGAGGCCUAUCCAUAUCAUAUAUAUAGAGGGCAGGGUGAUCCAUGAGAAGAGAGGGAGGGGUUAUAGAUAUCNNNNNNNNNNNNNNNNNNNNNNNNNNNNNNNNNNNNNNNNNNNNNNNNNNNNNNNNNNNNNNNNNNNNNNNNNNNNNNNNNNNNNNNNNNNNNNNNNNNNNNNNNNNNNNNNNNNNNNNNNNNNNNNNNNNNNNNNNNNNNNNNNNNNNNNNNNNNNNNNNNNNNNNNNNNNNNNNNNNNNNNNNNNNNNNNNNNNNNNNNNNNNNNNNNNNNNNNNNNNNNNNNNNNNNNNNNNNNNNNNNNNNNNNNNNNNNNNNNNNNNNNNNNNNNNNNNNNNNNNNNNNNNNNNNNNNNNNNNNNNGUGUGUGCAAGACAAAGAUAUAGGGUGACUGACCUACCGGAACGUCAAAGGGCACAGGUUAAGUUUGUGUGUGGCAGGGAGACAUGACUAGAGCGCUCGAUGUAUCGGUGUGUGUGUGUGUGGGAGGGGGGUGGGGGGGAGGGGUAGGCAGAGGCCUAACUAUAGAGGUAGAACGACUCGUGUAUGUGUUGACACUAGUAGAAAAAGGGUCAAAUGUGAAGCACAUUAGUGUCGGUUUGAAUUUGAGCCGGCACUAAUGUGUCCAUUAGUGCCGGUUCCAACGGCUAGGCGGGCGGACAUCAUUGGUACCGGUUCGUGGCGAACCUUUAGCACCGGUUCGUGCCACGAACCAGUACUAAAGUGAGUGGUGGCAGGAUGUUGUCAGUCCGGGGCCCCUCCAGCACCUUUAGUACCGGGUCGUAUCACGAACCGGUACUAAAGGUCGUCCUACAUACACCCUUCGUCCACCCUGGCUCACUUUGUUCUUCCCCUUUCCCCUCUCCUCUUUGUUCUUUCCCUCUUCCUCUCAAGCUCAUCACACAUUUUGCCCAAAAUUUGUCAAGAUUUGAAGGCCCCCAUCCAUUCAAAUGAUCACAAAGGUUAGCAACUUUGUCCUUUCAUCUCUCAUUGCUAGAUUAGCUCGUGCAAUGCUUUAUAUAGUGAUUGAUUUUUGAGUUUAGUAAUUUGGGAGGAAUUAUAUAUAUGUGCUAGUAUUUGAUUUAUAUGCAAUUUGAGGUCAAAAAUAACAGUUAGUUUUCAUAUGUAGGUGUGGUUUACUUAGUGCCUUCUAAAUCUUCGUCGUAACCACCGACGAUCGCCCGCAACGUCCCGUCGCUGGCACCACCUUGUGGUGAGCCUCUUGUUCAUGAAUGUUUUAUAUAAAAAAUUGAUGUUUGUGUGAUUUGGAUAUAUAGUUACUCGUAUAAUUAUCUUACCCAUACAUUGUUUGUUAUACAUAGUGCCAUGGUUUUGAUUUCCGUCCCCGUCGGCCCUCGCCCGGGUUAUGAUUCGGAUGUGGUAUAUUCUCUUUUAAAACUAUUUGUUGCAUUUCGUGUUUAUGACAAAUUAUGCCCAUCAAGUUGACAUAGAUAUUUGUAUGUAGAAGGUAGUUGAACUGGAAAUUCCAACCGACCCUAUUGUCGAGAGGUUAAAUUUAGUUGAAAGAGAAAACGAGGAUUUGAAGGAAAAAUUAAAAAGAAUUGAGGGGGAGAAGAUGGAACUAGAGUUGCAUGUUGCCGAUGUCAUCGAUGAUCACAAGAUUAAGAUGGAGAAAAUGCGCUUGAAGAUUAGAAAGAUUAGAAAAUAUGUGGUAUCAUUAUGCUGUUGGAUCAAUUGUUACCUUAGUUGCGAUCUUGAUCGCAUUUGUUGUUGCAUUUAAAUUCUUUAGCUAGAGAGUUAUUUGUUUGUUGCAUUCAAGUGUUGUAUGAACUUUAUGUAUUGUAUUAAUUUGGUGUUUUCGGUGCUGUGUAUUGAAGUUGAGCCGGCAAUGGAUGUACGAUGACCGAUGCUCUCCCGAGUUCAUUAAUGGCGUGCAUACUUUUCUGCUUGCGACUGAGGCAAACAAGCGGGCGGAUGGUUUUAUGCCUUGUCCAUGUGCUGGCUGUAAGAAUGGUCACAAUUACUCUACGUCAAGAACCAUUCACGUGCACCUGUUUGAGUCCGGUUUCAUGCCCCACUAUAAUGUUUGGACCAAGCACAGAGAAAGAGGGGUUAUGAUGGAAGACAAUGAAGAAGAAGAGGACGACGACAGCUAUCCUGGCCAUGGGUUCCCUGAAUACGAUGAUACAACAAUGAGGGAAGAAUCUGAGCCGGCAAUGUGGGAAGAAGCUGAAGAAGAGGCAUCGGAUGAGCCCGUUGAUGAUCUAGGUCGGGCCAUUGCCGAUGCAAAGAGAAACUGCGCAAGUGAUUUCGAGAAUAAGAAGUUGCAGCGCAUGUUAAAGGAUCACAAAAAAAAAUUUGUACCCGAAUUGCAUAGGUGACAAGAAAAAGCUGGGCACCACACUGGAAUUGCUGCAAUGGAAGGCAGAGAAUGGUGUAUCUGACAAGGGAUUUGGAAAGUUGCUGGUAAUGAUAAAGAAUAUGCUUCCAAAGGACAAUGAAUUGCCCGAGAGUACGUACGAAGCAAAGAAGGCUGUCUGCCCUCUAGGGUUAGAGGUGCAGAAGAUACAUGCAUGCCCUAAUGGUUGCAUCCUCUACCGCGGUGAGUACGAGGAUUUGAACGCUUGCCCGGUAUGCGGUGCAUUGCGCUAUAAGAUCAGCCGCGAUGACCCUGGUGAUGUCGAGGGCGAGUGCCCCAAGAAGAAGAUUCCUGCCAAGGUGAUGUGGUAUGCUCCUAUAAUACCACGGUUGAAACGUUUGUUCCAAAACAAGGAACAUGCCAAGGCGAUGCGAUGUCACAGAGAAGACAGUAAGAAAGACGGAAAGUUGAGAGUACCCACUGACGGGUCGCAGUGGAGAAAAAUCGAGAGAAAGUACGGGAAGGAGUUUGCAGAUGACGCAAGGAACAUACGGUUUGGUCUAAGCGCAGAUGGCAUUAAUCCUUUUGGGGAGCAGAUCAGCAACCAUAGCACCUGGCCUAUGACUCUAUGUUUGUAUAACCUUCCUCCUUGGUUGUGCAUGAAGCGGAAGUUCAUUAUGAUGCCAGUGCUCAUCCAAGGCCCUAAGCAACCCGACAACGAUAUUGAUGUGUACCUAAGGCCAUUAGUUGAAGAACUCUUACAGCUGUGGAAUGGAACAGGUGUACAUGCGUGAGAUGAGCACAUGGGGGAAGAAUUUGACCUAAAGGCAUUGCUGUUCGUGACCAUCAAUGAUUGGCCUGCUCUCAGUAACCUUUCAGGACAGACAAACAAGGGAUACCAUGCAUGCACGCAUUGUUUGGACGAUACCGACAAUAUAUAUUUGGAUAAUUGUAAGAAGAAUGUGUACCUGGGACAUCAUCGAUUUCUUCCGAGCAGGCAUGCCGUAAGAAAGAAAGGCAAGCAUUUCAAAGGUGAGGCGGAUCACCGAACGAAGCCUCGCCACCGUACUGGUGCUGAUGUACAUGAUAUGGUCAAGGAUUUGAAGGUAGUCUUUGGAAAGGGUCAUGGCGGACAACCUGUUCCGAAUGACGCUGACGGACGCGCACCCAUGUGGAAGAAGAAAUCUAUAUUUUGGGACCUGCCCUAUUGGAAAGACCUAGAGGUCCCCUCCGCAAUCGAUGUGAUGCAUGUGACGAAGAAUCUUUGCGUAACCCUGCUUGGCUUCUUGGGCAUGUAUAUGAAGACAAAAGAUACACCUGAGGCACGGGAGGACCAGCAACGUAUGCACGGAAAAGAUGGCAUACAUCAGGGUCAUGCCAGCUACGCUCUUACCAAAGAAGAGAAGGAAAACUUUUUUGAAUGCCUACUCAGUAUUAAGGUACCGUCUGGCUUCUCGUCGAAUAUAAAGGGAAUAAUAAACAUGGCAGAGAAAAAGUUCCAGAACCUAAAGUCUCAUGACUGCCACGUGAUUAUGACGCAACUGCUUCCGGUUGCAUUGAGGGGGCUUCUACCGGAAAACGUUCGAUUAGCCAUUGUGAAGCUAUGUGCAUUCCUCAAUGCAAUCUCUCAGAAGGUAAUCGAUCCAGAAAUCAUACCAAGGUUAGAGAAUGAUUUGGUGCAAUGUCUUGUCAGUUUCGAGUUGGUGUUCCCACCAUCCUUCUUCAAAAUCAUGACGCACAUCCUAGUUCACCUAUGCGAAGAGAUUAACGUUUUGGGUCCUGUAUUUCUACACAAUAUGUUCCCCUUUGAGAGGUUCAUGGGAGUCUUAAAGAAAUAUGUUCAUAACCGUGCUAUGCCAGAAGGAAGCAUCUCCAAGGGCCAUGAAAAUGAGGAGGUCAUUGAGUUUUGUAUUGACUUUAUUCCUGACCUUAAGCCGAUUGGUGUUCUUGAAUCGCGACAUAAGGGCAGACUGGAUGGAAAAGGCACGCUAGGAGGGGAUCAAAUAAUAUGUAUGGACGGACAUUCUCUAACUGAAGCACACUACACAGUUCUACAGAAUUCCGCCUUGGUGGCUCCGUAUAUGGACGAACACAAGAAUUUUCUAUGCUCCAAACACCCGGAGCGGUCUGAUGACUGGAUUACAUGUGAACAAACCAGGAGUUUCGCCGGCUGGUUGCAGACACGUACCAUGCAUGACGCCUCUAUUGAAGAUGACCUGUACUCGCUGUCCCAGUUACCAUCUUCGAAUAUAAUGACUUUCAAAGGGUACGAGAUAAAUGGUAGUACAUUUUACACGAUCACCCAAGAUAAGAAGAGCACCAACCAAAAUAGUGGUGUCCGCUUUGAUGCAACAACCAAGAUGGGAAAGGAAACAUAUUAUGGUUACAUAGAGGAGAUAUGGGAACUUGACUAUGGAUGUGGUUUGAAGGUCCCUUUGUUUCGGUGCAAAUGGGUCAAUAUGACACGAGGCGGGGUAACGGAAGACUGACAGUAUGGAAUGACAACAGUGGAUCUCAACAAUCUUGCGUAUGCAGAUGAACCAUUCGUCCUAGCUAAUGCUGUGGCACAGGUUUUCUAUGUGAAGGAUAUGUCUACCAAGUCGAGAAAAAGAAAAGAUAAGGAAGCGAAUGCAUCAUACGAUGAGCGCCACAUAGUUCUUUCUCGGAAGAGAAACAUCAUGGGAGUGGAUGACAAGACAGACAUGUCAGAAGAUUAUGAAAAGUUUGAUGAAAUUGCUCCAUUCACAGUGAAUAUUGACCCGAGCAUCCAGUUAAAUGAUGAAGAUUUUCCAUGGCUACGACGCAAAGGGACACACGCGAAGAAAAAGUUUCACACCCAAAGAUCUGGGAUGUGAUCGGCUUCACUAUCAUCACUUUCUUCUGUGUUUUACACCCAGGAGGGAAUCUCUGUAAUAGUUAGGGUAGUUAUGUGUUUUGGCAUUUGAAACGCGAAGAAAUUUUAUGUGCAAACAAAUUCUUUCAUGCAUUUACUUAUUUUUUCAGCUAAAUGGACCUAAAAUUGAAAAGCAUUUCAAAUGAACUCAAAAAAGGUUGAAAGUUGGCAUGGUAUCAUAAUUUCACCCACAUAGCAUGUGCAAAAAAGUAGAGAGGGUUACUGCAAAAACUGGAUGCACUUCGUGUACAAAAUGGACAAUCUCUUUCAAAGUAUCAGGGUUUCGGACAAAAACUCAUCCGUUACAAAGGCAUUUCAUUUUUUAAAUAACCUAAGCAUCACCAAAUUGAAUAUAAUGAUAAAACACACUAAUAUUAAACAUAAGAAAAAAAUAAUAACUGAAAAAUCUAUUUUCAAAGUUAAGUUAUUCACAAACUAGUGAUUCACACAAAUUUCAAAUAAUUUAAAAUUUAAACUAUUCAAAUUUGUAAACUACCGGCACUAACAGAAAGUUUGUAAUUUUUUGUACCUAAAGCAAAAAUAUUCACAAAGAAACUCUAAAUACAGCAAAAAACAACUCAAAAAUAAAUAAAACAAAAAUAAAUAAAGCAAAAAGCCCGCCUACUGUGCCACAACGGCCUGCAUACGACUAGAAACCCAACUUGUUGUUGGGCCAGGAUGCAGGCCCGCAAAGGCCCAGUAGGCCCACAGGGAAGCACAGAACAUUUAGGCCCAGUAGGCCUGCUUUGGAGAGGAGCUCGAGAGAGCUACCGCGCUGGGGCUUAUAAACCAGUGCGGACGCCCCUCGGCUAGCGAGGUGGGACUAAACAUGACGCACCGCACCUACGCCAGCGCACCCCCUUUAGUACCGAGUGGUGGCUCAAACCGGUACUAAGGGGGGGGGUCUUUAGUACCAGUUGGAGCCACCACCCGGUACUAAAGGGGUGCCAUUCCCGCCGCUUGGCCUGGCCAAAACAGACCUUUAGUACCGGUUGGUGGCUUCAACCGGUACUAAAGGUUGUUCUAUAUAAGAAAACACUUCAAAAAAUUUGUCAGUUUCUCAUCUCUCCCUCUGCUUCUUUCUCCUCUGCCCCAUUGCCGCCGCCCCUCGCUGCCGCCCCUCGUCACCGCCCCCGUCGCCGUCCGUCGCCGUCCCCAUCGUCGGCCCCAUCCGAGUCCCCAUCCCCGUCCCCGUCGUCCCCGUCGCCGCGCCGCGCCCUGUCGCCGCGCCGUGCUCCGUCGCCGCGCCCCGCCCCGUCCUCCCGUCGUCCCCACCCGGCCCGUCCCUAUCCCCGUUGUCGGUGUCAAAACUGGUGGAUCUCGGGUAGGGGGUCCCGAACUGUGCGUCUAGGCCGGAUGGUAACAGGAGGCAAGGAACACGAAGUUUUACCCAGGUUCGAGCCCUCUCGAUGGAGGUAAAACCCUACGUCCUGCUUGAUUAAUAUUGAUGAUAUGGGUAGUACAAGAGUAGAUCUACCACGAGAUCGGAGAGGCUAAACCCUAGAAGCUAGCCUAUGGUAUGAUUGUUGUUGCGUAUGUUGUCCUACGGACUAAAACCCUCCAAUUUAUAUAGACACCGGAGAGGGUUAGGGUUACACAAAGUCGGUUAUAAUGGUAGGAGAUCUACAUAUCUGUAUCGCCAAGCUUGCCUUCCACGUCAAGGAAAGUCCCUUCCGGACACAGGAUGAAGUCUUCAAUCUCGUAUCUUCAUAGUCCAGGAGUCCGGCUGAAGGUAUAGUCCGGCUAUCCGAACACCCCCUAAUCCAGGACUCCCUCAGUAGCCCCUGAACCAGGCUUCAAUGACGACGAGUCCGGCGCGCAGAUUGUCUUCGGCAUUGCAAGGCGGGUUCCUCCUCCAAGUACUUCAUAGAAGAUUUUGAACACAAAGAUAGUGUCCGGCUCUGCAAAAUAAGUUUCCACAUAUUGCCAUAGAGAGAAUAACAUUUACACAAAUCUAAUCUACUGACGUAUUCCGUAGUGUGACACACCAGGACCAAGCCUUUAUCCGAGUCAUUUUAUUAUCCCACCUCAGCGUGUAAUGCAAGGCGGUUUCCUUGGCACGUCUUGUUAAAGCAGAGAUCGUGUCCCCUUAUUCCGGGAUUCUCAUCAAUACGGGCGUGGGUAACCCAACCGCACCAUUGAUUACAGCGCUUGGAGAUAAGCGAGUUUUACCAGGCUGGUGGGGACACGUAGUUGCGUCCACCCAUAUAAGGGGAUAAGGAUCCACCUUUUCACCUACACCUUCUUCCUCCCUUGCUUAUCCAUUUUGCACACUCGAGCUCCAGCGCCCAAGUCCGCACUCCCCACCUCAACCUUCUCCAGCCAUGUCUGGAGCGGGAGGCAAGUGGAUGGUCUCCUCUGUCACGGAGGGACACAUCAAAAAACUGAGGAAGGCCGGAUACUUGUCUAACGACAUCGCGUACCGGCUUCCCGAAAAGGGACAGCUCAUCCCCACCCCUAGGUCCCAUGAGAGGGUGGUGUUCCUCCCCCAUUUCCUCCGUGGACUGGGCUUCCCUCUCCACCCAUUUGUCCGGGGGCUCAUGUUCUACUAUGGCCUGGAUUUCCACGAUCUGGCCCCAAACUUUGUCCUCAACAUCUCGGCAUUUAUCGUCGUGUGCGAGGCUUUCCUCCGCAUCCGCCCCCAUUUCGGCCUAUGGCUCAAGACUUUCAAUGUCAAGCCGAAGGUGGUGCACGGCAACCAGGCGGAGUGCGGAGGCGCCAUGGUGGGCAAGAUGCCCAAUGUCUUAUGGCUCGAGGGCUCCUUUGUGGAGACCCUGAAGGGGUGGCAAUCGGGGUGGUGUUACAUCACCGAGCCGCGCGACCCUGAAUGGGUCGCAUCCCCCGAGUUUCGAUCCGGACCCCCUACGCGGCUCACCUCCUGGAAGGAGACGGGUCUGUCGUGGGGUAAAAAAGGAGAGCUGACCGGACUCCAAACAUGCGUCCAAACCCUGGUGGACAAGAAGCUCAAACUUGUCAACGUAGUCCAGGUUAUGCUCAUUCGCCUGAUCCUCCCGUGUCAACAACGGGCUUUCAACCUGUGGGAGUUCGACCCGGCGCGGCACCGAACUCCGAGCAGGCUCUUCGACACGACGUACGAAGAUGCCUGGAAGGUGCUUUUCAAGGGCGCCGAGGCCCCCGCAUCCGCUACCGAGGAUCGCGGAUUCAGUACGCAGCGUCACGCUCAUGCGGUAAGCUGUUUUUUCCCUUUUACAGGGUAUUAGUUUUUCAUAGUUUGACUCCAUGCGGGAUCUAAGCCCCCUUACCUUUGACAGGACUGGCAGGAGACGUCCGGAUAGAUUAACUGUCCGGCUCCUUUGCCUGAAGGCCCAGCGGACGCUCGUUUGGCGAAGCUGCUGGUUCCGGCACCCUAUGUGGUGCCGGAGAAGAAGGCCACGAAGAAGGCCACGGGGACUCGAAAGAGUGCCCGGCGCCAGGAGAUGUCGGAUCCAUCAUUCGACGGUUCCGAGGCGCAUUCCUCCCGUGAAGACGAGGAGGAAGAAGAAGAGACCUCUCCCCCUCCAGCGGGAGGAGAGAAGAAAAGGAAGGCCGCCCCAACUGGGGAGGCCGAAGGGUCCAAGAAGGGGAAAACCCUUCCUCCGGACUAUUCCACCGACGCCGACGACGGCGGAGAGGAGUGGCCGCCCAGGGCCAAGCCCCUGGCAAAAUCGUAAGUAUCCGGAUACUAGAGUAAUUCAUAGUAUUCGUUUAUUGCACAGCUUUCCCUUAUGUCGAAUAUGUUUAUGCAGCCCACCCAAAGACCGGCUCGACGCGUCGUCGAGCGGCUCACUGGACUCGUUGGAUGUGAACUCGCUUCCGACGGCUUCCUCCCCCCGCCCUACAGACGACACCGAAGUGUUGUCCCAACAGGUUCCAAGCCGGAGGAGGUGGUCCUGGAGGCGCCGCAAGGCGACCUCCCGGACUCCAGGAGUAAAGGGGAUGAAACCCCCCAGGGCUCCAAGUCCGGCUCUAGGCCGGACACCGCUCCGGAACCUUCAAAGGUUCCAGAGUCCAACGGGGGACCUCCUUCCAAGAGGAGCAAGCCCACCGUGCCGGUGACCCCCAUCCAACCGGAGGCGCCGAUAAUAUGUUGGAGGCACUCCAAGGCGCCUCCAUCGACGAGGAGCACCGCACCAUUAUGAGUGCGGUGGUCCAGAAGGUUUAGUCCGCCAAGAGCGGACUGACUGAAGCUUGUACUAGCCUUUUAACAGGCUUUGAGGUAAGUAAAGAAUGUGUAAAUAAUAUUACCGCAUAGACAGUAGCCCCUGAUGCUCUAUUUGGCGUUCAGGAAGAAAAGCCGAAUAGAGGAUCAAAUAAAGUUAGCAGGAGUCUAACAAAAAGGAGUCAAUAUGUGUAUGCAGGCUUCUCUGCUUGCGUCCGCCGCACUUACUGUAGAAGUGGACACGCUAAAGCAGAACCUCGAGCGGUCCGAGCAAGAGCUCGGGCGUGCCAAGAAGCAGCUCGAGGACAAUGAAGGUAAGAAAUACCUUGUUUAAACAUAUAUAAAAAGGUGCAAUUGCAAAAAAUGACAGGAUUAUCAUGGCUAUUGUAGGGGCCACGUCUGAGGUGGCGACCCUUAAGCAAGCGCUGGUUGAGGCCGAGAAGAGGGCGGCCACGGAGCGCACCGAGCGGGAGAGGUACGAGGCCCAGGUUGGCAAGGUGCAGCAAGAGCUCCGGGUUCUCAUGAAAAAACAUGAGAGUUUGGAGCUUGACUCAAAGACGCGAGCGUCCGAGCUCGCGGUGGCUAUUGAAAAUGCCAAGUUUGCCAAGGACGAAUCCCAGAAGACCCUCCAGGAGUUGGAUGAGGUGAAGAAGAUAGCGGCGGGUAAGGCAUUCUUUAUGCAAAGCAAACACAUAAACGUGAGUUACUUGUUACUUACCCGAAUCUGGAGCUCUCCAGGAGCGUUCGCAGAUCUUCCCCGAAGUGUGUCCGAUGCCGCCGCAUUCUAUCGAGCCGAGGAGGGCAGCUCAACAGAGAAGGUGUUCUGGUCUCAGUAUGCUAAGGCCGGACACCUCGUGCCCCUGAGCGACCAGCUGAAGCAACCGGUCGAGCUCCACAAGGCGGCCGAACAGGCCAUGAAGGGCCUCAUAGUUCGGCUGUGGCCUGGAGAGGCUCUGCCUGGGAGCUAUUUCGGGCUGGUGCGGCGGCUGGUGGAGGCCUGUCCAAGGCUCGAAGUCAUCAAACGCUCCGUCUGCAUUGAAGGUGCCCGUAGGGCCCUUGCCCGUGCUAAAGUGCACUAGGGCAAGCUGGAUGCUGAGAAGCUUGUGAAGGACGGGCCACCGCCGGGGAAAGAGCAUCGCAAGCCCGAGAAUUAUUAUAAGGAUGUUCUGAAGGGUGCCUGCCUUGUGGCGGAUGAAUGUUCUAGGGAUGUAAUUUUUGAGUGAAACUUGCUUGUUUUGUCCUGUGCGCUGAAAACUUGUUCAUACGCACUAAGCAAUGCUGUUGGAAUUUAAAAUAUUACCUUCUGUGCGUCUGUUUAUCAAUUCUGAGAGAUGGCGAGUCAUCGGCUUCUGCCCCCGUGCCGCUAGUGUUGGGGUGUUCGGGGAUAAACCUGAGCGCUCUUUUUCCCAUGUUUGGGUCCUUCGAGGGAGGUGCUCAGCCCAACGAACAAGGCAGUCGGACUAUAAUGCGUGAACACUCUCACUUAGCCAUAGGAUUCUAUAAUUUUAAAUUUCGGCGAAGCCCCUGGUAUUCGGAAGACCGAGUUCGGGGCGCUAUCCACGCCUUGGCCGGACAGAGCCGACUCCUCGCUCUAAGCGGCAUAAGUCUUUAGGGACUCGAAAAACUUCUUGAACAGCGACCAGCUCUCACUUCAUCAUGACAGUCAGUUUUAGCUUUCUCCACUGAGGUGCUCGACCCAGCUCAACUGGGGCACAAUCGCAGUGGUUCUCCUAGUGCUACCUUAGCUGAUAUAGCGGAACGUAAGGCACCAAAACAUAGGAGCCGGGCAAACCCAACUAUUGACCCAAGACAGGAUUCGGUGCCAUGUAUAUAAUGCUAUAAGUUCGGGGUGCCACACUUGUUAAAGUGUUCGGACUUCUCACACCAUAUUGAGGGGUAUUAAAGCCCCUGGCGUAUUUUGGCCGUACCAAAGUGUACGGGUGCAACAUGUCAUUAAGGAACAUAUAUUUGUAAAAAAAAGUAAUGCAAAAAUAGACAAAAGCUAUGCAUUGUUUAUUAAAAAAGAGCUGCGAUCAAAGUAGAACGAUACAAAUAAUGCGAUAAGCAAAAGGUUGGACUAUUUUAACAUGUCCGUUCCAGGGGAAGACUGCGGAAUGGUAUGCGAAACAGGUAUACUGCUCAUGAUAGAGACCACCCGGGAGUUCCGUAAUGUGGCAUGGCUUGUUUGCUUCCCUGGUUCUUGCAUCAUUUGUGCGGCAAUUGAACUGCCGAACAGGCCUUCUGAAGAGUGGAGUCCUGAAAUUAAGAGAAAAUUAAAAAAUUGGCAGCCCCUGGUGCGGUUUAAGCUAUGUUUCGGGCGUGCCGUGAUGGUGCCCCUCCCCCUGUACCCAUGGUAUCUCUAGAGCGUAGUUAUGUACGCGAAGUACUGGCAUCGCCUUUUUGCGAGGGUUGGGGUUGGGGACGCAUUGCUACGCCUGCUCGGAUCGUGCCAGGCGGUCUUGUUGUAGGUUACUCUGGGCGCGCUUGACGGUCUCUAGUCGUUUAGUGGCCGGACUGGAGAACUGCCUGGAGAGGCUGCUUUGUACUUCCGCUACAAGGGCCGCCGUGUGCUCCUCCGUUCGGAGGCAGCGUUUGGUGUUUCCAUUGACCGUACCUUGAGGGCCUGGCAUCUUGAGCUUAAGGUAUGCGUAGUGCGGUACCGCAUUGAACUUGGCGAAUGCGGUUCGCCCGAGCAGUGCGUGAUAACCAUUGCGGAACGGGACUAUGUCGAAGAUUAACUCCUCGCUUCGGAAAUUAUCCGGAGAUCCGAAGACCACUUCAAGUGUGACUGAGCCUGUAUAGUUGGCCUCUACACCUAGUAUUACGCCUUUAAAGGUCGUUUUGGUGGGCUUAAUCCUCGAGGGAUCUAUGCCCAUUUUCCGCACUGUAUCCUGGUAAAGCAGGUUCAGGCUGCUGCCGCCGUCCAUAAGGACUCUAGUGAGAUGAAAUCCGUCAAUAAUUGGGUCUAAAACCAAUGCGGCGAAUCCGCCAUGGCGGAUGCUAGUGGGAUGGUCCCUUCGAUCAAAGGUGAUCGGGCAGGAGGACCAUGGGUUGAACUUUGGGGCGACUGGCUCUACCGCGUAUAUGUCCCUUAACGUGCGCUUCCGCUCCCUUUUGGGGACGUGGGUUGCGUAUAUCAUGUUCACCAUCCGCACUUGUGGGGGAAAACCCUUCUGUCCACUGUUGUUCAGCAGUCGGGGCUCCUCGUCGUCAUUGCUAUGCAGCCCCUUGUCUUCAUUUUCGGCAUUUAACUUGCCUGCCUGCUUGAACACCCCACAAUCCCUGUUGGUGUGAUUGGCCGGCUUUUCGGGGGUGCCAUGUAUCUGGCACAAGCAGUCGAGUAUUCGGUCCAAACUGGACGGCCCCCUAGGAUUCCUUUUGAAUGGCUUUUUCCGCUGACCAGAUUUAGAGCCUCUGAAUCCGGCAUUAACCGCCGUAUCCUUGCCGUUAAUGCAGUGCUUCUGCUUGUUGCGACGCGACCUGCCACUACUGUCCCUGGUAUCCGAAUUACCAGGGUUCUUGGUCAUAUUGUUGCUACGAGCAAGCCAGCUGUCUUCUCCCGCGCAAAAGCGGGUCAUGAGUGUCGUGAGUGCUGCCAUAGACUUCGGCUUUUCCUGUCCAAGGUGCCGGGCAAGCCACUCAUCACGGAUAUUGUGUUUGAAGGCUGCUAGGGCCUCAGCAUCCAGACAGUUGACUAUUUGAUUUUUCUUUGUUAGGAACCAUGUCCAGAAUUGCCUGGCCGAUUCCUCUCGCUGCUGAAUUACGUGACUUAGGUCAUCGGCGUCUGGGGGUCGCACAUAAGUGCCCUGGAAAUUGUUGAGGAAUGCGGCUUCCAGGUCCUCCCAACAACUGAUUGAUCCUGUUGGCAAGCUGUUAAGCCAAUGCCAAGCUAGUCCUUUAAGCUUGAGUGGGAGGUAUUUGAUGGCAGGAAAUCAUCACCGCAGGCCAUGUGGAUAUGAAGGAGAUAAUCCUCGAUCCAUACCGCAUGAUCUGUUGUGCCAUCAUAUGAUUCGAUGUUUACGGGUUUGAAACCCUCGGGGAUUUGAUGAUCCAUUAUUUCGUCUGUGAAGCAUAGUGGGUGUGCGGCGCCUCUGUACUGGGCUAUAUCACGAUGUAGCUCCAAUGAGCUUUGUAGACUAUGUUCGGCCUUGCCGAAUUUGUGGCCGGCGUGACGGUUACCGUCUUGAGUCGUGGGGCACCCAUGCGAUCCGUAGAUCGAUCUUGUUUGCCUUGCCUUGUCUUCCAACAUAUCUCGCAGGUCCGGCGCAUUUUCCCGUGCCUUGGUACGGGGUGCGGCUUGAGUGGAGGGCCGAGAGGCCUCUCUGUCGCGGCCACGGGGUGGCCGAUCGGCCGUAUCGAGUGCCGGUGAUGUAGGUUUAAGUGCUUCCUCCUCUAAUCGGGGUAGUAACCUGCGCUUUGGGUAGCUCUUGGAGGGGCGUUCGAGUUUAUGCUCUUCGGCCGCAAGGACUUCAGUCCAUCUGUCGACUAGCAAAUCUUGAUCAGCUCUAAGCUGUUGCUAUUUUUUCUUGAGGCUUCUUGCCGUGGCCAUAAGCCUGCGUUGAAAACGCUCUUGCUCGACGGGAUCCUCUGGCACGACGAAUUCGUCGUCGUCGAGGCUUGCCUUGUCUUCUGAGGGAGGCAUUUAGUUAUCGUCCUCGACCUCUCUGUCUGCCGCUCUCUCAUGAGGGCUGGUUUCUCCAUCCUCCUAUGCUAAAUCUUGCUGGAGGGGGUUUUCUUCGGCACUUUCCGGAGUAUUAUUAUCUCCCGUGCUGGAAUCACCGUAUUUGUUUUGGCGGGAUUUUGAGCGGCGCCGCUGACGCCGACACUUGGGCUGUUUCUUGGAGGAGUCAUCCUCCACUGUUCCAUCGCCAUCUCCUUCUUUUGGGGUGUCCACCAUGUAUAUGUCAUAUGAAGAGGUGGCUUUCCAGGGCCUAAUAGGCGCUGGUUCUUCAUCGUCUCCUUCAUCGGCAUCCACACCGUCGAUGUCUUCGGAGUCGAAGUCGAGAAUGUCGGAUAAGUCGUCGACAGUGGCUACAAAGUGGGUGGUGGGUGGGCUUUGAAUUUCUUCAUCAUCCGUACCCCAACCUUGCUGACCGUAGUCCGGCCAGGGCUCUCCUGAUAAAGAGAGAGACUUCAGUGUCUUCAGAAUAUCGCCGAAAGGUGAGUGCUGAAAGAUGUCCGCGGUAGUAAACUCCAUGAUCGGCGCCCAAUCGGAUUCGAUUGGCAGGGGCGCGGAGGGUUCAGAGUCCGGAGAGGAGUCCGGCUCCUUGGAGUCACGAGUCCCGCAGAGUGCGGGGCUGGUGUUCGGCUCGAUCGCCGUUGGGAUCGCAGUCCCCGAGGCGGCGUCCAACCACCUAUCCUCGAUCGGCGUAGUUGGCUCUGAAUUAAGGGUCGAAGCCGAUGCGGGUGCGGCCUCCAGGGCACUGUUCGGCGGCAGGGCUAGAUCAUGCUCGUCGGGACAGUGCGGCGCGCUCGGCAGUGGCUCGAAUCCGUCGAAGAUCAAGUCCCCGCGGAUGUCAGCCGUGUAGUUUAAACUUCCAAAUCUGACCUGACGGCCAGGGGCGUAGCUUUCGAUCUGCUCCAGAUGGACAAGUGAAUUGGCCCGUAGUGCGAAGCCGCCGAAGACGAAGAUCUAUCCAGGGAGGAAGGUCUCACCCUGGACUGCAUCGUUAUUGGUGAUCGUAGGAGCCAUCGAGCCUGACGGAGAUGACACAGAGGAACUCUCAGUGAAAGCACCAAUGUCGGUGUCAAAACCGGCGGAUCUCGGGUAGGGGGUCCCGAACUGUGUGUCUAGGCCGGAUGGUAACAGGAGGCAAGGAACACGAAGUUUUACCCAGGUUCGGGCCCUCUUGAUGGAGGUAAAACCCUACGUCCUGCUUGAUUAAUAUUGAUGAUAUGGGUAGUACAAGAGUAGAUCUACCACGAGAUCAGAGAGGCUAAACCCUAGAAGCUAGCCUAUGGUAUGAUUGUUGUUGCGUAUGUUGUCCUACGGACUAAAACCCUCCGGUUUAUAUAGACACCGGAGAGGGUUAGGGUUACACAAAGUCGGUUACAAUGGUAGGAGAUCUACAUAUCCGUAUCGCCAAGCUUGCCUUCCACGCCAAGGAAAGUCCCUUCCGGACACGAGACGAAGUCUUCAAUCUCGUAUCUUCAUAGUCCAGGAGUCCGGCUGAAGGUAUAGUCCGGCUAUCCGAACACCCCCUAAUCCAGGACUCCCUCACCCGUCAUCGCCGCCCCGUCCCCAUCCCCGUCGUCAUCGCCCGUCUCCGUCCCCGUCGCCACCGCCCGUCUCCGUCCCCGUUGCUGCCCCUCGUCGUCGUGCCUCGCCGGUGAGCUCCUGCCCCGGCCGCACACACACACACGCAUUAUGUUAUAGAAAUAUUACAAAUGUUAGUUAUAUAGAAAUGUUUUUUAGUUAUAGAAAUAUUAGAAAUGUUAGUUAUAUAGAAAUAUUAGAAAUGUUAGUUAUAUAGAAAUGUUUUUAGUUAUAGAAAUAUUAGAAAUGUUAGUUUUAGUUAUAGAAAUACUAGAAAUGUUAGUUUUAGUUAUAAAAUUUAGAAUUUGCAUAUAUGAAAUCACACUCCAUCAUUUAAAAAAUGUUAUUUUACUUUUGCGGCAUAUAGUAUUUGUUGUGGAUGAUGCCCGACCAGCAUCCUCGCCGUCGACCAGUUUGCGACGACGUCCUGCUUCAGAGGACCCAUGUCCGGGACUGGGCUCCGCCGGGCUGGCACUAGGAGGUGCUACCAUCAGGGGUGCGAUGUUUGGUGAGGAACCCGGCCCCGGGUCCCAUCGUCGACCCUGAUCUCCUUUGGUGGCGUUCGCGUGGGCCACUUUCGGUGCAGAGGGAGCCGGCCCCGCCGGAGGUGGUAUGUCGCCGUGUCAGGGAGGAGGACGAGCACGUCCAUCGCUACAUGGCUGCUAUGGACGUCAGGUUCUCCAAUACCUGGCAGGUUCUUUGGGGAGAUCACCCGAGCUAUGAUCCAGUGAUGGUUCCUUCACUUUGGUUGUCCACCGCCUAGAUUACUCUCUAGUAUUCGAUCUUUAUUAGCUAGCUAGCUAGCUAGUGAUGUAUUCGAUAUAUAAUAUUCGAGAUUAUAUAUAUUAUUCGAGACGAUGUAUUCGAGAUUAUAUCUAUUAUUCGAGACGACGUAUUCGAGAUUAUAUUCGAUGAUGCUUAUUAUGUACUAUGAUUGAUCCAGUUUUUCCUUUUUAAUUGAUUGCAUCCAUGCAUUGUAAUUUGAAUAUAUUUCUUUUGGAUUAGUUAAAUAAAACCUAUGGCGGACAAUACCGGCACAGAGGGAGAAGAGGCCCUGUUCAAUAUCAUACGCAAUCCUCACGGGCCAGAUGAUGAUCAGAAUGAAGAAGAUUAUGGCAGCUCCGAAUAUCUAAACAACACUGGGGAGGGUGAUAUGAUAUUCGAUUGCGACGACCGAAUUGAUGAAGUCAUGAACUAUGAACAUGACAAAGAAAAUGUUGAUCUUGAAACAACAAAGACCGGCGAGGUAUAUUUAUAUAAGCAGGCAUCUGGUGAUCAUCACAUGUUUUAAAUGACUUGAAGAUAUAUAUUAACGAAUCGAUCUUUCUUCUUUCAGCCAUCCGGAUCGGGCAAAUCUUCAGGCAGCAAGACAGUACGAGGCCCGAACAAAAAGUUGAAGGAGGGCGUAAAGUACAAUAUCGAGGCCAUCAAACCUAAUGGCGAACCAUUAGCGCCUAAGAAGGUUGCAGACAAGUUCAUUCGUUAGUGCGGAGUUCUUGUGAAGGACCAACUCUCGAUCUCCCUUCAAGAAUGGAGAGAGCCAGCAAAGCCACGUCCAGAUCUUACUUUUGUCGACGACAGACAAAAACUUCUGCUUUGGGAAACGCUCAUGGAACAUUUCACCCUACCAAAUCAUUUCACAGAUGCAUAUGUGGAGAAAGUCAAGGACACUGCUCUUAGGAAGAUGGCGGUUGCAUUCAACAACCACCAGAAUCGUGUAUGGGACCAGUACAUCAAGGGAGGAAAGAAGACUCCAGUAUUCAAGGGAACACUAGAGAAGCAAAGUGCUCAUUGGGACAAUUUCAUGAAUUUCAAGGAAUCAGAAUUAUCUAAGGAACGGUCGAGAAUAAACAAGGCCAAUGCCGCAAAAAAGGAUAAGUUCCAUAAGGUGGGGCCAGGUGGCCAUGCGGUGGGAAUGCCUAAGUGGGAUAAGUAUGAGAAAGAGAUGGAGGAUGCAGGUGUCACUCCAGAAACAUUGAGCUGGCCCCCCAGGUGUAGGACUUGGUUCUAUGCGCAUGUGGGGGAGUUGGACCCGAAGACAGGCAAAGUUUCGAAGAAGGCAUGUCUGGACGGAGCCGAAGAUAAGCUACUUGUUGCAAUAGAAGAGGCUCGAUCGGGGGUGUUCAAGCCCAACAGAGAGAACGACGAGCUUACGCGUGCCCUAGGAAAUCCUGAACACCCGGGAAGAACACGAGGCAAGGGCGCUAUUCCAUGGUACGAGGGGUUUUCAUACUGGAAUGCCGACUACAGAACCCAUGCGAGAAAGAAGAUUGCGGAGGAGAAGAAGAGGAAGAUGGAGGAGGAGCAGAGGAAGCUGGACUAUGAACGCCUUCAAGGCCUAGAAUCAGCGCACGUGGACUUGGCAGUCAAAUUCCAGCGGCAGCAGGAGCAGAUCGACUCACUUAGCCAGCAAAGGGGGUCUCAGUAGCUGCAGCAGCUAGCGGAUGAUCCAGCAUUGGAUAGCACCGUCCCAUCCAUGCCGAGAAGCAGCGUGGGUUCCGCCCCGGGCGACGCAUUGCUGGAUAGCUACCCACUGGAUGACAUCAUGGAGAACACUAACUGCGAGCUACACUUCAAAAUGAAGAACAUAUCCAUGAAGGUGGCGGACGCCGUUGCUUUUACAAAUCCCCCCGAGGCAACCUUCCAUUGCAACCCGAUUCCAGCGGGCUAUGCUCGUGUCUUGGUUGAUGAGGUGGUGGACCAAUAUUCGGGGCUAGAGCUUGACAUUCCUGGAGGUGACGAGGAGCACACACUGGGAGAGGCCAACCAUCGUAUCAUCCUAUGGAGAAAGGAUUGCAUCAUCUUUCGAAGGCCACCGACACCGCGUCAUCCGACUCCUCGUCGAAGUCCGCCACCGAGUCAGUAGACUCCCGCUCCUCCAAGUCCACCAACGCGUCAGGCCACUCCUCCUCCAAGUCUGGCACAACUUCAGGCCACUCCUCCUCCUCCAAGUCCGGCAAAGCGUCAGGCCACUCCUCCUCCAAGUCCGGCACAGCUUCAGGCCACUCCUCCUCCUCCAACUCAGCCACGUCAGCCGUCUUCGCCGCCUCAGCAAUCACGGAAGAGAGCCGCCUCAGCUAUGGUGCGUAGCGGUACAAGUCAAGGUAGUACUGGAGGUACAGGCGGAGGCAAGCGAUUUCAAUAUGGUCCAAGUAGCCUCGUGCCUCUUCCGCAGAGGCCUUACGACAAGUUCGAGGAGGAAAACACAUCCAUAUCGAAGGCCGAGGUGGAAGCCCAUUUUGCACCAAAACUGCCACCGCCGCCAAGGGAGAAAGUGCCUGAGGAAAAGAUUGACCACUUAAUUCGUAUGGCUAGAGCACCAGCUCCCAAGCCUGUUGACACAGACUAUGAGCGCCAACUCAGGAAGUUAAAUCGAGCAUGUCUACAGAAAGAGGCGAGCUCAAGCUCGAGCAAAUCAGCUGGCAAAAGGAGCGGUAAAACCGUUCCCCAGCUGGGAGAACAGGCGGCGCAAUCAAUCCCCCCGCUUGUUGUGCCAACAACACAUGAGAGUACGCAUGCCCAAUAUUAUUGUGGUCAAACCGUUAACGUUCCCGGACUGGGCGAUGUGGUAAUAACCGAGGAGCAUAUUGAGCAGGCUAUAAGGCUCAUGAUCACUGUUGGACAACUCCUCGAUAUCGAGCCCAUGUCUCUGAUUAGAGAGGAGGAUAUAAAAUGGAAAUAUGUCCGGGGCCAACCUUUGGUCGAGCCAGACGAGGUCAAGAAGCUCCCAACGAGAAUGUAUGAAUUGCAUCAAUGGUACAUGGACAUUACCAAGAUUUCCAAUCGAGAGUCCCUCAUGGUGAAUGUCAAGAAGGAUCAUUACUACCAUGAGAAAGCUGUGUCCGUUGAGUAUUCAGAACUAUUUCAGUUAUACAAUCAAGACGCACUCGACAAAUCUAUCGUCAGUUGCUAUUGUCUGUAAGUAAUUUCUUUUUGUAAUUUAAGUCUCAAGCUAGCUGUAGUGAUCAUUUUGAUCAAUCAUUACCUGUAAUUAUCCUCACUAUAUUCUUUUCUGUGGUAUUAUGCAGGAUGAAGAUUUAUGAAAUGAAAAAAGGUGGACGCUAUGGCAUUGGGUUCAUUGACCCAAAUACCAUUAAUGAAUACACAUGGAAAUUAGAUCCAUAUUAUGAAAAAAGUGUAGAGGAAAGCAUGCUAGAGUUCUUCAAGCACCUCAAUACCAAUGAAGAUAUACUACUAGCUUCCUUACAACUUCGAGUGAGUCACACUGUCUUGUACUACAAAUUCUGUUUUUGCCUACUAGCUAGCUACAUGUUUUUGCUUACAUAUGCCCGCUUAAUUAAGACAUGCAAACGUGUGUGCAUGCAGAUUUCACUAGAUCUUGUUAAUCAUUAAAGUUGAUGAAGGAACAGUUGAAAUACUGGACUCACUACUUAAAAAAGCAAGUGACUACACCAUCUUGUUUGAGAUAGCCAACAGGUAAUUUCAAUCAUUAUUAACUAUAUCUCAGCCUAUUUAGUUCAUCAUUUACUGAUAUGAACUAUUUAAUAACCCCUUUAUUCAUUUUCUUUGUCGGCGGGCAGGGCUUGGGCAAAGUUCAUCAGCGUCACUCCAGGCCAAUGGAAAAAAAGCUAAAAUGGUAUCGACCCAAGAUAAGUAAUUAAGUAGUACUAGCUAGCUACCUGCCAUCUCUUUAAUUAUCAUGCUUGAUUAAUUAUUAUCUGAUCAAAUUCCAUUCUCGUAAAGGCCCUGAAGCAGGCGCCGGGCAAUAAUCUGUGUGCAUACUACGUUUGCGAGAACAUUCGCAUGAUGGCGUCCGAAAGGAGCAGAUCUCAAAGACAGGAGUGGGUACGUUUGUCAGAACACUAUUCACAAUUUUUACAACAUUAUCGAUAUCUAGUCACACAACUAAUACACAUGCAUAUUGAUCUCCUUCUUAACAGUUCAAAGAGGUGUGGGAGUAGCUCCUAGCAGAGGACCGCAUAGAAGCAAUUCAAGAGGAUAGCGGGAUUUUUGCUCGACCAGGUCAUAGAUCCCAAAGGAGAAUACUAUUAUCCGCUACCGCCCCCAUGAACCACUUCCAAUUGUCAUCGUGCUCCGAAGGCACCAAUUAGGCUAAUGCCACUGGCUCUGAAGGGACCAAUUAGGAGAAAUUGUAUAUAGCUAGCUAAUUGUAUAUAUACAUGUGUGUAUAUAUGUGUGAAUUAAUUAAUGGUGGUNNNNNNNNNNNNNNNNNNNNNNNNNNNNNNNNNNNNNNNNNNNNNNNNNNNNNNNNNNNNNNNNNNNNNNNNNNNNNNNNNNNNNNNNNNNNNNNNNNNNNNNNNNNNNNNNNNNNNNNNNNNNNNNNNNNNNNNNNNNNNNNNNNNNNNNNNNNNNNNNNNNNNNNNNNNNNNNNNNNNNNNNNNNNNNNNNNNNNNNNNNNNNNNNNNNNNNNNNNNNNNNNNNNNNNNNNNNNNNNNNNNNNNNNNNNNNNNNNNNNNNNNNNNNNNNNNNNNNNNNNNNNNNNNNNNNNNNNNNNNNNNNNNNNNNNNNNNNNNNNNNNNNNNNNNNNNNNNNNNNNNNNNNNNNNNNNNNNNNNNNNNNNNNNNNNNNNNNNNNNNNNNUUCUAUUUAUAUAUAUGCAUAACGUGUACAAUAUGUAGUAUCGUAAAAUACCAGCAAACGAAAAAGAAUUAAAUGGAAAACACAAAAUUAAAUGAAAAAGAAAUCAUAAACCCAAAACCCCCAACCUUUUAAUACCAGUUGGUGUCACCAACCGGUACUAAAGGGCUCCCUGCCCCCGGAGCUGGCUCGUGCCACGUGGUUGCCCUUUAGCACCGGUUCGUGCUGAACCGGUACUAAGGGGGGGGGGGCUUUAGUGCCCACACUUUAGUGCCGGUUACCGAACCGGCACUAAAGGGCCUUACGAACCGGUGCUAUUGCCCGGUUCUGCACUAGUGUGAGAAGGAGAGACCCAGCUAUGUCUUGAGGGAGAUCGAUCGACAUCCAUACAUAACUAAAGGACGGGAAAUAGGAUGGGACAGAAAGAGAGAGGGGAGAGAGAGGGGUAGAGUGCUGGAUGGGUGAUGGAGUUGCUUCUCAAAGAUGGUGGGAGAGGCCUACUAGACAAACUGAGGGUGGAACUGCAACAUUAUUAAUAAGAGUGGGGAUGUGUUUCUGUGUGUUCCUGUGCGUGAUAGAUCUGUCGAGACGCAUCCAUGGAUGAUGAAGGGGAACCAUGUGUUUGGUAAGCAAACCUAACUAGAUCGGUAGAACAAUUGUUGUUUGUCGGAGGAAGGAAGAGACAUAACUAAUGAGGUGGAUCGAUCUACGCGUGGGGAAUAACGAGUUAUAAGGACCUAGCUAGCUAUAUGAAUAGCGGGAGAUAGGUCGGUGUACGUCCAUUUGUUAGAGGCAAAUAAGGCCCGGCGAGACGGAUAGACAGAGAGAAUGGAGCUAUGAGGUGGUGCGAGAGGCCCAGCUACUAGCUGGAUAGGGGGAGGAGUGUGUGGUUGUGAGAUUGAUGAAAAGAGGGGCGGGAGUUUACACAUGUGUGGGACCAUAUGAGAGACACGAGGCAAGGAAACAUAGAUGAGGAGAUUGAAGGUGAGUGUGUAUGUUGUAGGCAGACAUCGCUGGAGAGGUUUAUUGAUCGGUGUAUGUCACAAAGGAGUUGUGGAGACUGUGGGAGAACGACCUAAAGAAAAAAUGAAUGUGCGCGAUGGAUAGAAUGCUGAGGGAGGGGGAGGGCGAGGAGGGCGUGUGCAUGCACGAGAGAAAGUUAGUGGUAGCUACAAAGGUUAGAGGAUUGUGUGGGUGUAAGAGACUAACAAAGAUCAUAAUUUGAUAUGAAAGUGGAUUCAUAUAUUUGAAUAGGAGAUCAUACUGUUUUAAACAUAUGCAUGCAUGAAUAUAGCGGUGAUACACGUGUUGUGGUUUUGCACAUGUUAUACCAUAAUGUGAUAAUGCAUGGCGUUUGCAACUCACAGCUAAAUGUCAAACAAUCUAAACCAUACUAUACAUCGAACAAUCUCACAUUUUAUUUGAAUUUGUGAUAAUGUGUGGUGUUUGCAGCUUACAACUAAAUAUCGAACAAUCUAAACAAUACUAUAUAUCGAACAUUCUCACAUUUUAUUUGAAUUUGUGGUAAUGUGUGGUGUUUGCCACUCACAUCUAAAUACUUGUAGGCGUAGGAGGCGGGGCACCAUACAUAAUGUGAUAAACACAUUAUACAUAUGAGACAUGGUUUAGAUUAUGAAGAUCUAGCUAGAGCUUGAAAUGUACUAUGACUUGAAAUCAACAUAAAGUGGAUUCAAAAAAUUGAGUUCGAGUUCAUAUAGUACACAUAGUUCAUAUGUAACUCGAGAGUAAUCAUGUGGUGUGCUAUGAAGAUAAUACACAAACGAUGGUUUAACUUGACAAUAAUGAUGAUUGUAGAUCUUAUUAAAACAGAGAAAUGAAUUCAAAUGCUUUGACUUCACAACAACCAUUAUUGUAGAUCUUAUUCAAAUAGAGAAACAAACUCAAAUUUAGUUCAUAUUGAAGCGGUAGUAUAUACGUUUGGAAUGCACUAAAACGUUCAUUUGAGUAGUAGGUUGCAUGCAUUAUACACAUAGAAAAAUAUUUUAAUUGAACAUAACAUGAAUUCAAAGUUUUGAAUGACAUUUGUAGUGCGAAUUGAUUUGGUACAGUACACGUUAGGCUUGUCCGGAAAUUUCAACCCGCGCCUUGUUAGCCUGAAAUAUUUAAGAUAUGUCUUUGUCUCGUUGUGCUCCAACAACACCCUCCAUCUCAACCCGCGCCUUGCUAUUCCAAAAUUACAACGCGCGCGAAAACUCCCACCUCCUGUGAAAUCCCGACACGUGAAAUGCCCGUGAUACCCCUGAACCGAAAGAACUGCCUCAAAUCGGUGGGGGUACUUUCGUAACUUACCCCACAUUUCGGACAAGCGCGUCCCUAAGCCAUGGUUCCCCACUCCCAUCCCAUCCGAUCACCCAUUCGUACACUGUCGGGGAUAUACCCCGCGGCAUAAACCGGCCGGAAGUAUAACCCGGCCGGAGUUGGCGGUUUACUUGAGAUCCGACUGACACUUGGCGAUUCACUGGCGACCCGCCUUGACCUGGCGGUUUACAAGCAACCCACCUGGUCAUUAUGACUCACUGGUGAUCCGGCGUACGGGACAGACAGAUGACAAGGCCCAAGGCCCAGAAGGCCGGUUCACGUUUAAUGCUGGGCCGGUUUAAGGGGAAAGGCAUGACGAAUAUUUACCUUACAAGGAGUUAGACCAGGACCUGUAUCCGGUUUAUAUUAGAGAUAGACUAGUCCUAAUCCUAAUAGGACUCCACAUGUAACCCGCCCCUUCAACAUAUAUAAGGAGGGGCAGGGCUCCCAAAAGAGGACAAGCUACAAGCAAGAAGAAACAAUCUUAAGGCUAGACACAAAGAGGAGAGCCGGUUUACGGCGACUCCCUCGUGAUGAUAAUGAGACCUAGCCUCAAACAACAUGUAGGGUUGUUACCGGAUGAUGUUUCCUGGGGCCCGAAGCUGUCUAAAUCCUUGUCUUGCGUGUUGAUCCGCCCUGCAUCUCUCGUCCCACUCAACCCCUCUCAAGCUACCACAUAGAUGCGUUGACCUCGCGACUAAGUCCUGACACUAAGGACAUCUGCCGUGACAAAUCCACGACAGUUGGCGCCCACCAUGGGGCACGCGCAUGGUGGUGUUGAGUUCUUGAAGGGAGCUCUUCAAAGGAUCGAGAAAGUCGCGGUCGGUCAGAUCAGGAAGAACCGGCUCGAAAGUAUAUUAACUAUGGCAAUGGUCUCGUUGGACAAUGGAAAGUAUGGUUAGCAAUUGACCAUGGAACCAGCUAGGAAAAGUCUACAUCAGAGUUAUAUUCUUUAAACCGGAUUUACAACCGAUAAGAUUGAAGGAUAUGAGGGUUUGGCGUGUUCUCUGUGCGUCACCGAGGCAACGUGAUCCGUCGAAUCCGAGUUGGAAAUCAGAUUUUGGCCGCUACAGCUGGGUAUCGCCAAGGUCGACAUGAGUUACGCUACCUCAUCAUCCGCCGCCUUGCCGCGGUGGUCUGUCUCCAAGCAGUACUGCCGCCUUGCCUUUGCAGCUGCGCCCUGUCUGAGUCACAUCCAUCAUCGACAUCUCCACUUGAUCUCGGAUUGAGUCAUCACCGCUACCGAUUCAAUGUUAAGAAGGAAAUUGGUAUUGCGUUUGAGCCGGAUUCUAAAGCUGACUCGCCGCCCGACCUCUUCAAGUCGCGACCUUGGGUCGCCGUACCACCGGCCGCCUACAGCGCCAAUACGGCCCCAAGACGCGAGCUACCUCGGGCUGCCGCGGACGCCGCUCACCUCCACCGUGAACCGGCCUCUGCUGCUGCUAAACCGACCCUCUACUGCUACUGACUCGGCUUCUACUGCUGCUGACCCGGCUUCCACGCUGCUUCCCUGGACCGGCGUCGCCUCUGAUCCGCCAUCGUUGACCCCUCCAUGGCUCAUUCCCGCGGCCUUCUCCGCUCCACCCGCCACCGGAGCAUCGCCGGGGCCCUCCAAACCGUCUCCACAACUGACUAACAUCACGGCCGCCUCAAGCUCCGUGAGCGUUAGGCUGUCCCUGUUUCAUCAAAGUUGCCGCUCGCCGCUUUGCUGCAGCCCGAGUCGCCGCCGUGGUGCCGCAUCGCCCCGGGUCAUGGCCUCGCUUCAUCCGCUCGCCCCCAAACCGCCUUGUCAGGUUAAGACCAAUGCCGCAGUCUGCUUCAACCACAGCCGCAGGCCUCGCCUUGUCUUCGGUCGUGAACCGCCCCGUUCUAAACCGCUAAUACAGCCACAAGUUGCCGUGCCUCGUCAAUUCGUCGGCCCACCGCGGCCCUGUGCUAAAUCACCGGCCUGCCGUCUCCUUCAGUGACAUUAUAGUGGGAGAGCUGCUGCUGCUGAGCCACCGGCCCCGUCGCCAAGUCACCGUCCACCUUUGACGGCUGUGCUGUGCGCCAUGGUCUUACUUCGCCUCUAUACGAGUCGCUGCGCGGGGUCACCAUGCCCGCUCAUCCUUAUAAACCGGAGCCACUGAGGUCGCGGGUGCUGUUGCUGUGGUGCUGUGGUCGCGGGCGCUGCUGCUGGUUCGAGCCCUCCUUCUAGUGCCAUCCCAGACUUGAGGCGUUUGAAGCCCUAUACUGGUACAUCAGGCUGCAUACUCGAAAUCACCUGAUGAAGUUGAUUCAAUCUGAACAUACGGGUGCGUAGUGGACAUACGGCAUGCCCCGAACGACGCUACUGGUGCAUAGUAGACAUGCGGGUGAAGUAUAUGCCCGUGACAGGAUUCAUAGCACUCAACACCCGAAUGAAGUUCUGACGAUUUGGACCUUUAAAGUCAGAUGUUUAAUGACAAAGCACCUCGGAGAGCCCAAGAGCAGUCCAAGAUAAAAAUGUUAGUGCCGCUGCACAAGUCCCAAAAAAGCUGAUGCAAGGUCAUCAUGAUAUCUUAUCACGUGAGGAAAAGAAGCAA
rnacentral:lncRNA from 1 species